GCCGAUGUUGCACCCGAAACAAAAUCCACUGCCCUGAGCUUGUGUUUGUGUCUUCUCCUUCUCGCUGCACUGCUUCCCCAAUCUUCUUCCUGGUGAUCAAGGUAUCAAAAUCGAAACAGGUACUUUCGCAGAAGUAUAAUCUUUUCACGUACCUAUAAUCGUUUUGUUUUCACAGUUCCUUCAAUUGCAUUUUCAUUUACAAAAGACUUGUUAACUUAUGCUUCAUAUGCAAAAAUGAAUUGGGUGGUGGCUACGACCCUAUCAUUGUUGUUUUUAACUUUUCAUUAUAUGGUUUGGAAAUAGCAGGUGUGUUGUGAAAGAUGACUUGCAUUGUUAGGGCUGCAUUGAGAUCCAAUUGCAGUUCAAGUGUUUGUGCAUUUGUUCAGAGAAGUUUUGGCCUCCCUGUGAGGUGUUUCUCCACUGAAGCAGAACAGCCACCUCUGAAUUCAACUACCCCUCUUCCAUUCUUGGACGUUGAUCAUUCUGGUACCACCCUAUUUAUGCAUUUAUCCUCCCAUUUCUAUCGCUCUUAGACUUGCUUUAGCUUUUACGAAAAAACUGUUCUACCGCAGCUCGAGGUUAUAAAUUCCUUGACAUUACAGGAAAAUGCGGACAAAAGUGGCUGAUGCAGCCACAAAAAUGUCAGAGACUCCAAAAACCUUGACAUUGUGGCCAAAAUUGUGGUCACAGUUGUCGACUAAUAUCUAAAACCUUGUUGCUGCUGUUACUUUUAGGACUCGCUCGGUGGCUAGCAUAUGAUAUAAUCGGAUAAUUAAACUAUAAAACAAUAGCGGUUCUAAUGAGUUGUUUGGUUUUGGGGAUAAUUAUUUGUACCAUAGCAAGUAUCACUAGCACUACAUGGUCACUACUACCAUUAGUGUCACUAAAUCUUUCAUCAUCAAUGUCACCCUUGUUGUCAUAACAGACAUUACUCUCACCAUUAUUGCUAUCAGUCACUAUCAUCGAUGUUGUUAGGAAUUCAAGGUGACUUCAAGUCCCACAUUGAAUCAAAAUGAGUAAGAUGAUGACUAGUAUAUAAAUAGAAGAACCCAUAAACCUAUUGCCUUAAUGUUUUGUGUCAGAAGUGGUGUCUUUGUCUCAUAUAUGACCUUAUUCACGACUCAUUGGUGAUGAAUCUUCCAACGUCUUCCCUCAGAAAAACCUCACAGUUGUCACCAUCAUUUCUUUAUUAUACUUUCAUCAUUGUUACUAUUGUGAUUAUCACUUGCAUCUUUCUCAUCGUGCUUACCAUUUGCUACCAUCUCAUUAUUGAUGUUGUAUUGUAACUAUUUGUAGGAGUAGAAAGGGUGAUAAUUUACUUUAAAUUAAGAGACUUGUGCAAUAUUUGUAACAAUAAACAAAAGAUUUAAUAUAUUAAGUAUGUUAAUAUAUUAAUUUAGUUCUUUUGUUUUAUAAAAUUAUCAAAUUAGAGAUUGUUUGUUAGAAAGAAAAUUUGUAAGGAAAGAAAAAAGUGGGCUUAUCAUUCAUUUCUAAGUAAUAGUGAUUUAUUCAAAUGAGGAACGCCAUGUUAGAUUAUCUUGUAACCUUCUAAUUAUUGUAUAUAUAGUUCUUUAAAGUUUAUUUGUGUCUUACAUGAGGCCCAUGGUAAGCUUUACAAGGGGGAGAGGAGAUAAGAGUGAGAAAGGAGGAGUGCAUCCCUUUCUCACUAAUUGUUAAUUUCAAAUAGGUUAAUGUAUAUUUUUCAAUUAAUUGGGAUGCUAGGAAAAAUCUUCCUUCUCCAUGUCCUCAUCAUCAUUAUUGUCAUUGUUUUAAGUUUUUGCUCAAUCCUCAUGUCUAUUCAUGUGUUCUAACAUUCAAAAGCCAAAUAGUUUUCAGAUUUGACAAUGUGAAAAUAGUAAAUGCAUGAGAAUAUAGAAAUUUGACAUACAGUAUAUAUCAUUGAUGCUAGUGACUAUAUUUUUGUAUACGUUUGGAUUUUGAAAAUAAGAUGUUAGGUUUCUAACCAAUUCACUGCUAGCCAUGUUAUUUAAAUAAUACCUUUCAACACUUUACAGUUCUUUUAUUUUAAAUAAUUUCCAUCCUAGGUAAUGACUGUUUUCCUUUCUCUUUCUUUCUUUAGGAGUGACAUAUGGUAGGCUGCUUGGUAUCCGUAAACAUGCACUGAAAACAGAUAUCAUCAACUUCCUUGAAGGUUGUAAUUUGACUCUGGAGGAUGUUAAAUUUGAUUACAACCGUAGCCUUAUACCAGUUUCAACGUAAUGUAUUCCAUCUUUUGUCUUGCUUUUGGGGUAUUGUGAAAGUUAUUUUUGUCAUAUAAUCAGUGCAUUUUCAUGCCUAUGACAGGGAAUUGCAUUUUCUUUUCUUUUUCUUUUACUCUAAAUGAUGUUUCCGAAAACUAAAGAGAAAGUUCAAUUUAAUUAUAUACUUGUUUGUAACAUGUCGUGCUCUCAGAAUUUGGACUUUCAAGCCCUAAAAUCCUAUAAAACAACCAACUUGUCAGGAGAGGAUUGUCCAAUAUAUAUAUAUAUAUAUAUAUAUAUAUAUAUAUAUAUAUAUAUAUAUAUAUUAUAUAGUUCUAGUUAAGUCAUAUUUUUAGUCACUGAAACUAAACACCAUAAAAAACACCACUUUGAACUGUAAUUAAGGUGCCGUUCAAAAUAUGGAGUGCUAGAUUUUGUCAUACUCGUCUUGUUAUAUGAACCCAUGUAUUUCAUUAAAGACAAGUAGAAAUAAUCCCAAUUGCUGAGGUAAAAUCAGAAUACAGGAAAAGUGAAUGGAUAAAGAGUAGCCUUUUUGAGGGUGUGCCAGCCUUCCUUUACAAUCCUUAUCCAAUUAUUGCCUACCUAUUUCUUCCUUCUUCCCUUUUAUUCUAACCAAUUUACUUAUGUUUUUCUUCCUCAAUUGCUACAAUUAGCAUUUCAUUAUUACCUCGGUUCAUCCUCAUGACUCUCCGUAAUCAUCUAGCAUAGCUAACAUCCUGAAGUGGAUUAUCAUUGUGUUUUCUAAAUGGGCCUCAUCUUAGAUUCAAUACUUGAAAUUAUCAUUUAAAGGUUUUGGGUAUAAUCAGGUUAUUGCAAUUCCCUUCUCGUGAUUCCUAUGACAAUGCUAUAAGGGUGAUUGUAAGGAAGGGUCGCCUCUACAAAUUGGAUAGGGUAUGCUGCUCUGCUCACAUGUCUUUUUUCUAAAAUCAUUUUCUUUUUUAUAUUUGUUUAUAAUUGGAAACUGUUUGAUAUUUUUUCCUUUUUCUAAUAUCAGGCUGAUCGAUCCCAAUGGGACAUAGUAAAGCCAUAUGAUGGAAAAACUGUCAGUACAGAUUCUUACCUAUCUUUGCUUAUCUUGUUUUUUGAAUACUAAUUAUUUUUUGAUGUUUGUAAUAUAUUUUAACUGUCCAAAUGCUGAAAUUGUUAGAUGUUGUGUUUUGAAAAUUUUGAUUGAGUAAAAUAGAGAGCAUGAUGUAAGACAGUUUUUUCCCAUAACCAUAAGGUUCUCUUAUUGUUCGAUUUUUAAGUUGUGAGUAAAUCACUCCAAAUUGGAGGUAAAUUCUUAAAAGUUUUAAUCUUUUAUGUAAGACUACGUCUUUAUUCUUUGUUAAAUUUAGAACAUUUGUUCAUUUUGUUGACUUCUAUAAUUAAGGAAUGUUAAUUGAGCACAUUUUCAAGAAUUCCUUGAAAUUAAAGUACCAAGGAUAAUGGAAAAGGAUCCGAGAAAUGUAAUUCUGUUGUAUGAGGAAAAACAUGAGAAUAAAAAUUAUUCAUGAAUGUCUAAAAAUCUGAAGCUUGAACCGUCUCAAACAAAAAAUUUCUUCCCUUAAGAUUUUGAAAGUUUAGGGUGUUGUUAUAGUCAUGAUCCCAUCCAGGUUGGCAUCCUAUGUUAUAUCAAUUAUUUGCAGCUUACCAAAAAGGUAUAAAAAAAAAGGAAAGAAAUACAAAAUAGUAGGGGGACUAUACCAAAACCUACUCAAGAACCAAAUCUAUAAUAAGGUUGAGAACAACUAUUUCUUGAUAAAUCAUAUCUAAGAAAAUCCAAAAUGUCAUUAUACCAGUGAUUAUAUCUUUGAAUUGCACCGAAGCAUGCAAGUUUAUCAGCAAUCUGGUUUAGUUUGGAAAUUACAUUGGGCUCUAUGGCCUGAAGCAAUCACUUUGAGCUUGGUUGGGUAAAUUAAUUUUGAUUUUGUUGAUUUUUGGACUGGAAUGGAGUGAGGCAAAUCAUUUAGUGUUUACUGUCAUACUCAUCAUGGGAAGUGUGUUUAUCUUAUGCUCUUUGUUGAUGCUAUUGUUAUUACAUGGAUAGAUAUCACUAGAAUUGCUCAAUUAAAACAACAUUUAUUGUGCAUCUUUAAUACCAAAGAUUUGGACUAACUAAAAUAUUUUUUAUUAUUGAAGUGACACAGUCAAGAGGUGUUAUCGUUUCACAAAGAAAAUAUGCUCUUGGUAUUUUGCAGGAUACAAACUUAGCAAAUUGUAGGCCCAUUGAUAGUCCUAUGGACUCAAACUCUAAUGUUAAUGAGAAACCACUAUGAAAUUUUCUCAAACCUAGAGAGAUAUAGGAUGUUGGUGGAAAAACUCAUUUAUAUCACAAUGAUAAGAGCAGAUCUUUCUUAUCCAUUGUGAGUUAUGAGUCAAUUUAUGCAUAACCCUCACAUAACAUUGAUUACUAGAAUAUUGUGAUUCACAUUCUCAUAUAUGCAUAAGGGAUCCCACGAUAGGGAUUGUUGUAUGAGAACAAGGCAGUGUUAUCAAAUUUUGGCCAUGGCGAUGCUAUGGCGGAAACCGGUAAUAGUUUCCCAACCUGCAGCCACAAUAAGGUACUGGCGAAGCAAAUUUUCUGUGGUGGUCUUGUGGCUGCUUAGCGUGCGGUGGUGGAAAAAGCAGGCUGGAGAUAGAAGAAGACAACUAAUUCCAUCAAUUUACCAAUUAACAACUAAUUCCUAAUUUGGUUCCUUCUAUCCUGCACCCAUUAUAUCCUAUCAAAUACACUGAUUUUCCUUUAUCUUUUUUGUUUAAGUAAAUGAAUACGAAGAUUCUAAAUAUAUUUUUCUUUUAAUUACUAUAAAGAUAUUAAAAAUAUUUUUAUACUAAUAAUCCUUUAUUUACCACAAGUUACGACAUCAAAUUUAUUCAGUUUAUUUAUGCAUGACUUAUUGAAUGCAUUAUGAUCGCUUGAAUUCUCAGUAUGGAAGAAGUACCAAGAUUGUGGUGCGAAUUCCAUCAAGAUUUGGUAUUUAGUGUUGUACUUCCAUUUACCACUGUUGUGUGAUAUGCUGGCUGAGACUGAACUUAUAUUUAGAAUAACUUUUUAAACUGAAGGAUACUAGUUGAAGUGUUAUAAUUUUUGUUUCAUGCAAACAUUACUAUGGAAAUAGCACAUUUACCUAACAGUGUCUAAUUUCUUUUUUUUAAGAUUUUGAUUCAAGGAAUGCCUCGAACUGCUAAUUUUGAAGAUGUAGUGCGAACCCUGUCUGGUUGUGAAUAUGAUUCCAACUCCAUCAACUUGUUUUUGAGGUAAACAUCAAAUACACUUCAAAUUUUAUAUUUUGUUUUAGAGUUAAACCUGUUUUUAGUCAUUAUAAAUAGGGCAGUUUUUAGUUUGGUUAAGAAUGUGUGUCUAAACUUCUUCAUACGUAUAGGAGAAGAUAAAAUUAAUAUAAGUGAGAAAACUUCUACUAAUUACUACUUUACGCUUUAGUUAAAAAUCUUAUUUUUGAGAAACUAACGAGAGAACCCUAAAUGCAUAAAUCAAUUUUAGUUUAUGGAGACGUUUAGUGCAUUUCUUAUUUUCUUCUCUACAAUUGCUUUUAGUCACCUUAAUGGAAAUGUAUCAUGUGUGAUCCCCAUUUUCAAAGGAGACCCAAAAGAGAAAAACUUCUGUGGUGGACAAGGAUCACACUUGACACAUUUUUCGUAAGCUAAUGGAUCAGAUGCGGUCGUUUUAGUUUUAGGGUCUCAAGGUGAACAGUUCUGCAUUGAUAAGGACUAAAUUAGUGUUUAAACCCUCUCAUGUAUUCUUAGAAAGAAAUGGUUGGAAUACACUAUUAACAUUCUGAAAACACACUCAUUUAUUGAAAUUUACUGAAAAUCACAAAUGUUGGCAGGUCUCACUUUAUCUAAGGAUCUCUCUCAAUUUUGUACUUUAAUAAAUUCUAUCUUUGUUCCCAACCCUCCUCUCCUCCGGAACCACAUUCUCGGGAACAUUAUUCCCGAAAAAUCCUAGUAGUUUAUAAAAGAAAUAGAGUUUAUUUAAUUGAACAAAAAGGGAUGAAGUGAGGAGGUAGGUAAUUGUUGUAGAAAGUAACUUCUAUUUUAAUGGGAAUACAAAAUACUUAGGUAAUGGAAUAAGGAGUAACACAAAAGUGUAAUUUAUAUUCCUUUGCAAGAACCAUUCCUGAGAAUGUGUUUACAAAACUGUCUCAAACAUGAGAAUAUCAUAUUCUCAAGUUCACUUUCUCGAUGCCUUGAAACAAACGGCUGCUUGGAUUAUAUUCUCAAAAUGGUAAUUAUUUUCUUACUUUCAGGCGAGGAGAAGAGUGGGCUGCAGAACCUAUUAAAUUGGCCACAGUGCGUUUCCAUUCAAGGACUCAAGCAAUGAAUGCAUUCAUCGCAAAAAAUGGAACCUUUUGCCAAAACAGUCGCAUUUCGGUACAAGUUUUGCAGUAAUUUAUGCCCCUUACUGGUGCUAGUAUUAUAUUACUACUACUUUAACAGAGGCUAGAGUAUUUAACUAGUUUUACUGGUGCUAGUAUUAUAUUACUAUUACUUUAACAGAGCCUAGAGUAUUUAACUAGUUUUUUUCAUUUCAUGGUCAUUUGGGAUUUUCAUAAUGUCUCUGGUUUAAGGUGAUGCAAGGAAAUGUUAAAAGUGUGGUAAAAUGUCUACCUUGCGUAGUAACACUUGACAUUAGUUGAUUGGUUAGUGAAGAGGUUGGUUCUUCUUUAUAUUGAAAUGUGUUUUUAUGUACCCAAUUAUUCAACGUUUUCCAAUGACAUGAAAUCGUGGUGUUGAUUCUAUGAGAAUUUGACUUUUCAAAUUCUAUAUAUCAGUGUGUCUUGGUAUUUGCAUGCUGAUAUAAAACUAGCAACUUUCCAGUUAUUAAUUAUACGUAAGUUUGCGUAGGCUAGUUCUUUGAAAAAAUAUGUGUGGAUAUUUUGUUAGAAAGUUAUGUAAAUAUGUUAGCAAACACAUAAAUGUGCAGCAGAAAUUAUUGCCAGUCAUGAAUUUGGUUAAGAAUGUGAUGAAGUUUCCAGAGAGGAAGAGUUAAAUUCAAAAAGGAAUAUUGAAGAAACAACUUAUUUCCAGAAAGAAAUAUUAGACACCCGUAAAAGAAUUAUUUUCACAUUUAUAACCUACUAAGAAUAAUAUAUUAACUUGAGCUAAAAUUAUGGCAAGUAUUGUGGGAUGACUCCUCUAAGGUGAAAAAGACACACUUAGGUUAAAGUACAGUAACGAUGGUAAAUUGCAAAUGAUUUUGAAGUUGCCAAUUUUUUGCUUCUAACUGCUGAUAAAUUUGGUCUCUAUUAUAAACGGUUGACUUUUGACUUUCUUUGAUCAGUUUUGUCUCAAUUUUAGUUUAGUUAGUUAAAGUUAGAAUUGAUUGACUCUUUAUCUGCACGUUACUUUCAUCUUAAAUUGAAGAGUUUAAGUUUUGAAAUUAUUUGAUUUAUCAAAAAAACUCCACAAAAAUACCAAUACUAAGUCAAAACUUCAAAAUAACGUAAUAUUUGCUAGAAAAUUUCAAGAGCUGUUUUUAUCAUAUAUUUAAACAAUUAAUUUUAAUUUGAUCAUUUUAUCUUUAAAUAACAUGAUUUUAGAAAACUUAUCAUGCUUACAUCAUGUGCAUAAUUGAUAAUCUCAUCAUGCAGUCAUGCAGUUGAAAAAGCAGGUCUAAUUGUAGUUACAUGUACAGUGAUAAAUGACCAAAUCUUAUUCUCAUUCAUUUGGUUCUAUUGAUGGACAUUUCAUUUCCUUAAAAGAGUUUAACAAUAUUUAUCCAUAGUUUUAUUCAUACUUUAGAUUUUACUCUUUCAUUACAUAAUUUGGUUUCACUACAUUCUAAAUAAUGACGUCCUAACAUUGUGCUAAAUCAUAGGACUUUUUGAGAAAUUUAUUGCAUGUAAUGUUAAUAAUCAAACCAUUAGAGCAAAAGUUCAACAUCUUGAUAUUUUAAUUGAGCACAUAAAUAUAAUGUUUAAUAUAUUUGUUGGUUUCUAGUCAGUUUUAUUUAAAAUAGUCUUCGAUUUUUGAUAUAAUGUCUCCGUGAAUUAUGAGUGAAUGAAUGAAAUGUAACUUUUUCACGUAUGUAACAACUUAAACCAAGGUUGAUGUGGAUAUGUGGAAUUUUAAAGUGGUUUCUAUGAUGAGGGCAUUUGACUUUGUUGUUGAAGUGGAGGUGCAGAAGUUAGAUCACAUAGGUAGAAAAUGAAAGUCUUAUUAAAUGCACUUGUGUUAAACGUACUAAAAGUUACAAACAUUGUUGUUCCAAAAGUAUAUAUUAAAAAAAUAUCUCACUAAAUAGGAAAAGUCUUACAUAGACUAAAAACGAAGUUUUCAUCCAACAAUGAAACACUUAUGAAUUGUUAGGUAUCUCUAAUAUAAUGCUUAAACAAUCAAAUACUGCUUAGAAGUGAAAUUAUGAAAUGCUUAUAGUUGCUCUAAACACAUAUUAAAUGACAAAACUGAUAAGAUAAGAAAAGGAACAUAUCUACUUACAUCCAUAUCUACUCAUAUUUAGAUACAUCCAUAUCUAUUCUACUAUAUAGAGAUUAUCUAUGUGAAAUAUCUACAUUCAAAUUAGAAUUAGAAGUAGACAUUAGAAACAAAUAAAACAUUCACAUAAUGUUGUCUCUAUCAAAAGUUUUUACAACCUACUUAUAUGUUCUGACAAUUUAGUUAACUUUAGGAGAGAUAUAAACUUUUAAGAAUUACAUAAAUUUGAAUUAAAUAUAGAAAGUUUAUUUGUGCAUAUAUAUAUAUAUAUAUAUAUAUAUAUAUAUAUAUAUAUAUAUAUAUAUAUAUAUAUUGAAUAAAUGUUUGUUGUUUGAAAUCUUAGACUUGUAAUCAUUACUAAAAAAUGUCCACUUGCUUCGAAUUUCCCAACAGAUUAUGUUAUUAUCCUAAUCGCACUCUUCGUUUAUUCUAGUUAUGCAGCUUAGUUUGCAGAUACAAUAACAAAGCACUUGAAAACAAGAAAUUGAAUAUGAAAAAACAAACCCUGCUUCAAAGUAGUACAUAAUAAUGCUAUAGCUUGAAAACCUAUAUAGGGUUACUAGGCUUGAGUGGGUGGAAGGUCUUUGUCUAGGGCUUCUGCGGAGAAAUCUCCAGGCUGUGGAACUUGCUCAUGAGGCAUUCCUUUUGGUUUGCUUCCUUCUUUCUCAUUCAUCUCUUCGUUCCUUCUCACAACUCUUUCUGUUUCUGUUUCUGUUUCUGGGUCAUCAUCAUCAACUACACCUUUCACCUCUUUACCACCGCAUGCCAAUGGCUUUGCCGGCUUCUCCGUCUUCUUCUUCAUUUUCAUCGAUGUUGCAGAAACACCCAAAAGAGAAAACUGUUUUAUUACUCUCUUAUCACUCGGCUGUUGCUUACGUCAACUCAACCGAUUAAGGCUUUGCAUACACGUGGCUACCACCAUGAACUCAGUUACGAACGUCCUUACACCUGGAUAUAUAAUGCUAAAAUACAUGUUAAUUUCUUGUCCUGCGGAUUUAUCCAAUUUAUAUUAUCUAAAAGAAUUCAUAUUUAAUUAAUUAUAUUUUAUGCUCUCUAAUAAAAAGUUAAUGAUAUUCAUACAAAGUCAUAAUAUACUUAAAUUAAUUAAUAAUAUAAUCUUUUGGAUAAAAAUUGACUAUAGAUUAGUUUAUAAAAUUGAAAUAACAUCUUUAUCAGUCGAAGUUUGGUUCAUUAUUGAGAUCGAAUUAGUCUAUUAUUUAAAAACAGGUUGGAGAAUUGUGGGUUGGCUUGUAUUUUUAUUUUUUAUUUUUUAAUUUUAAAUUCAAAAUUUAAACGACAACAAUUAAGAAAAAUUAAAUUCAAGAAAAAUCAGUUUGAUAGUUUGACAACAAUUGCAUUGGGACCUUCUCCACGUGAAUGGUUAUUAAUUUCCAUUUUCCUUUUCAGACAAAGAUCUCUCUACGAGAAUGGUUGAAUUUAUUUUUUAAUACAAAAAGAAUUGGUAUAGUGUAUGGAAUGGCCGGUCAGCUAUGAAUAGAAUGGCCAAUGACUAAUGUGAUUAUGGCAAUCAUUCGGUUACUUUGAAGAUUAUUUAAGGAUUACAAAUUUAAAAAAAGGAAAAAUGAUAUUUUAACACCAAUUUUUUGACACCAUUUUGACACUGUACACGUGUCAAAAUAUGGUUGGACAAUUUCAAAUUAAAAAAAAAACUUUGGUUUUUUUCUUCUAAAUAUAUUCUUACCUUAACUUUUUUUAAUUUGAAAUCAUCCAACCACAUUUUGACACGUGUACAGUAUUAAAAUGGUGUCAAAAUUUGAUAUUAAAAUAUCAUUUUCCUUUUUAAAACUCUUAUUUCGUAUUUGGUCAUGCUGUAUUAAUUAUAAAUUUAUUUUAAAACUUAUAAAUAUUAGUAAAAAAUAGAUAAUUAUAUUUAUUAUAAAUUUAAGAUUUUACAGAGUGAUAGUCAAAAUAUAGUAUUUUUUGACAGGUAUCCGUCAGCACAAUUUGAGUUGGAAUAUAUUUUAAUUAUGAUCUCGACCUAAUAGUAAUUGAAUUUGUGAAUGGUUGAAUUUGUUUUUUUUUUCAAAAAUAAUUUUUCAAGAAAAAAGAAAGAAAAUUUAAAAUUUCAAAAUUUUUUAAAAAUUUCAAAAGUUUCCUUGCAUCAGAGCCCUUUUCACAUGAAUAGAAACUAUUUUCAUAUGAUUUUUGGAUAAGACUCUCCUUAGGAAUGAAAAACAUAUUUAUUGAAUAAAAACAAAAUCAAAGGUGUAAACCUUUAAAAUAAAUCUAAGAAAACAUUGUAUUCUGACAUAAUCAAAAGUCGUUCAAUAAAUUUGAAAACUCCCUAACACUUUGAUAAAUUCGUUUUAUUCAUCAACUAACAUAAAUUAUAUGAUUAUCGUAAAAAUACAAACAAACAAAAAUAAACUAACAUAAUAAACCUCGUAACAACUAUAUAUCAUAACACAAUUAUUAAGUAAAUCCUAUACUCCUUCCACUUCAACCACAUUCAAAUCAAAUUAUACAAAUAAUUAUUUCUAAUCCAUACUUUCUAACAUCCUUAAGGAAUGCCACUUGUAUAAAAUUUUCUGGACACUAAUUGUAUUAAACUUUCUAUUUAUAUAUUCAAAAUCUUCAUUUAAUUAAAACGCAGAAAGCAAACCACACCUUAAACGACAGUUCAUAAAAGAAUGAAACUCAAAAUGUAACUUUUACAUAAAAACAAGUCUGAAAUUUAAAAUUUAAUAUAAAUCCACCACUAUUCCUUUUUUAUUUUAUUUUUUACUUUUUUUUUUACUAAUAUUGCUAUAUUAGUCAUUCACUUUAUUUAAUUAGUUUCUGCCAAGGAAUUUGUUCCUCUUUUUUCAUUUAAACCAUAAAGUAUGUUUUUAUUUUUUUUUAGUUUUAGUUUUUAAAUAUAAGUUUAUAUUGUAUUUAUAGGUCAAUGAUAAUCCUUCCCUUUUAUAUUUUAUUUCCUAUCUCUCCUACCAAAAUAAUUCAGUGACACUCUCCAUUGAACCUUAAUCUCCAUUGAAAUGUAGCUCUCUUAUACCUAAAUCACUUACCCACACCCUCGAUUGAACCCUCCAAGAAGAAGAUUGAAUCUUUUCCUUUUGGCUUGAAGUUUCAUUCACUGCAAAAUUCUUGUUUUUCGCUCUCACUCACCACAGAACAGACCAUUCACUUUGUUAUCACACAAAUAUCGCCACUCGCCACUCGCCGCGGCAGCGGAGACGACGGUGUUGCUGCGGUCCGUCCCUGUCCUAUCUUCGCCUCUCAUCAUUUCCCUUCCCCUUCUCUCCUCAAAGAAAUUCAAACCCUCAGCCACUCCAACCCUUCUCUUAAAACCCUCCUUCGCACGUAGUUUAAGCCCCUCCGAAGAAGACAAGAAGUUGGUUCAACGGUCGAGAUUGCACCGUCUCUAUUGAACCUUCCUUUCUGGGUUUCAAGGUACUCUUUUCAACAUUUUUUCUUUGUCUUAGGCAAUUGUUCGUAUUCUGUUGUUAUCUGAAACCAAAAUGUUAGUCAAAGGUUUUAAAAUAAUAUAGUAGUAAUUUGUGGAACGUGACAAAUGAAAUGCGAAAUGUAAGAUGUAUUAUUCAUGUAUUAAAUGUUGCAGUUUCUAGGUUAGAGAAUUUUGGAUUUUUCUACUUGUGGACAAUGCAUUACUCAAUCUGUAAAUUGCCUGCUUUCAUUUGUUUUUCAUGUUUUUUUAAUAAAAUGAGUGCCUGUUUGGUUAAAUAGCUUAAUUAGAACAUUAUUGAAGGAGUGUUUAUCAUUUAAACAUGUGUGUAUAAAUCCCAUCUUAAUAGAAAUAACAGAGUUCUAAUUAAAGAAAUAAUACUAUGUGGUAAUGUUCUGGAGUGGUAUGAACGAAUUAUGGAGGAAAUAAUUUCUAUUACAAUGUUCAGGUUUAUACUUUCAAAUAUAGUUUACUGACAAUUUGAAGCUCUUUUCCAAUCUUUGCAUUGUUGUCCGUUGGUGGGCUGUUUGACAUUCUCUAGUUGCUAACCAUUUGCAUCGUCUUUUCCCUUCUGAAGAAGACCUCACAAUUUUUGUUCUUCAGGAUGAUAGGGUGGUUUAUGUAGUUGAGGGUGCUGCUGGAGUACAUAAGGCACUAGAGUUAACUGUUUCACAUUUCCAUGUAGAUUUUAUUCCUUCUAACUUUUAGAACAUGUUUCUAUACACCAAUCAUGACAUUAUAUUCAUUCAUUGGUCAUUCUCAAUCACUCUAGAUUAGUUUCAUGUUAGAUUUUCAUCUUUCUCAUACAUAAUAUCAUGCAUUCUGUUACAGUAGUUUUAUAUACUCUCUACACUAUUUUUUUGUCUCAUGCAUCAUAUCCAUCCCAUUCUUUAGACUAAUAGUUUUAUAUACUCUCUACAUUAUUUUAUUUUAUUUUAUUUUUUUUUACUUUAACUUGUUUGAAUAGCUACUUGACAAGUUCCAAAUUUAGUUUAUGCACGAGUUAAAAAUAAGAAGUUAGAGGGAAUAUGAUAAAGGUUCUGCAAAGUAACAUGCAUAAAUUAAUUUUAGUUUAUGAUAAAGGUUCUUCUUAUAUUUCUCUUUUAAAAAGAUCUUAUAAACAAGCUCAUCCAAAGAGGCUCCUGGUAUUCAAUUAGUCACCAUUUGUUUUCUUGUAAUUUAUGUUGCAAAUUAAUUGGAUUUUCCCAACUGCUCCUACACAAACUGUAUCUAUCUUUGGUGGGUCAUCUUUCUUUUCUUGUAUGAUAAAGUAUUGUAUUUAUGGUGUGCUUGCAAAUAUGUUAAUUGAAGAAGUUUCCAGUGAAUUUUCUAAAGUAUGAUAUAAUUUCCUUUAUGAACAUUAAAAUUUUAACUUCAACUCGUACAAGUAUGGCAUCCCAAUUUAGUUGUUUCAUGAUAUAUAGAUUCUUUAUAAAGUUACCUAGGUAUGUGGAUAUGAGUGAUGAGUGUUCUUGUCAGAAAACAUGAUUUAUCCUAUUAGUUUCAGAUUAUUUUGAUCUGAAUAUGUUUUGGAUUGAAAAUUCAGAUUUUCCAAUUUUUAAAAUCUAUAUAAGUAAAACAAAAAUAUGUUCUAAAAAAAUUACAAAAUACAGAUCAGAAAUAGAAAACAGAUUUAAUGAAAUGAAUUCUAAACAGAUCAAAACAGUGCAAAAGUGGAUCAGAAUGGGGAAAAAAUAUUUUUGUCCACCCCUAGACUUAACACAUAAUAAAUCUUCAAGGUUAGUUUUAUAUGGCUUUUUGCAACUGAAGUAUUAAAACUUUUAUGGGGUAAAUAUUUUAUUUGAUUAUCUUUGAUCUCAAAUUCUUUGUCUGUGAUCAUUAUAACAUCAUUACUGUGAGAAAAGGAUCAAAACGAAAUAAGUGAAGUUUUUUAACAAGUGAAACAAAGUACCUUUUCAUUAUAUUUUAAUUGUAGUCGAAGAAAUAUCUUCGUCUUUGGUAAUUAUAAAAGGAAAAAAAUACAACUUUAACACAGGUGUCAUUUUAGUGUGAAUACCAUGGGACUUUACUCCUUCUCACUUUCUUUGUAUCCAUAAGAUUAAAAAGUAAAGUGAUACACAAUAUAGCACAUCAGGUAAGUUGUUUCUUAAAAUGACAUUUCAAGCGUCACCAACAAAACAGGAGUCUCUAUAAGUUCUAUUUUAUACUUUUCAUCUAGAUGCUCUCGGCUUGGUUGCCUAAGUUCGUUGUCAAAAAGUGAGAUUAUUACUUGUAUCUUGGUGUGAUGACUUUAUUAAUAUGUAAAAUGCUAUUGUGUGGGUUGUUGUUACAUUGAAACGAAUGAUUUGAGCAUGAUUGUUGCAAUGCAUGCAAUGGAUUGAAGCGUUGCAUUUUUUAUUAGAUUCUUCAUCAAUAUUUGCAUUCUCGUAUCUUUUUGGUACUUAGCCAGAGAUUGAGGAAGUUCAAGUUAUGUCUCAAUUUUCUUUGUCAAUUUAGCUAGAGAAAAAUCCAGUAACAGAACAACUUUAAUAGUAUGAAGCAGAAAUUAGAGAAUCUGCGUGCAAUUUGAACACUUCAUUGGAUGAGAUAUCAUUCUCCAAACAGAAUCUUCCCACAGCUCCUGAUUGUAUGAAAAACCGUGAAUUUGAUAUUGUAAGUGUUCAGUAAUUCGUUCUGCAUUUGAUUCAUUAAUAGGUUUGAAUAUAUUUUGUUAAGUUGUUUAUGUAGCAUAUCUAUUUUAAAUGUGAAAUGCUUGGUAUGGUGUUGAGUGAAAACUAUUGUGAUGGAUAGUUGUGUGUAUAUCACAAGUCUGUAUUGUGGUAUAUGUAGUGCUAAAUGAAACAACUUUUUAAAUCUGACAACGUUACAUAUAUUUAAUAGCAAUUGUGGUAUUUGGAAUCAACUCUAGAAAAAAAUAUUUUUCUUGAGCUGUUUUUAAAUUCGGUUUUGUUCAGAGUGAUUCAUAAUUUAUUUCAGGUUUAGCAGCUUAACCCUGAAAUUGAACAGGCUGGAGAAAUCUGAUAAUAUGGCAGAAAGCUCUUCGGCUGCGCCUUCACUACCGAAACCUGUGGUGGUUAGGGUCAAACGCAAGCCCUCUCAGUUCCCACUUGAUGCUUUCUGUAAACUUUCUUCCUCUUUUUGUUUUUUUUUUCUGGGUUUUAUUUGGGCCAUUGCGUGCUUAAAGUUUUGUAUGUGGUUUUGUCAAUUCAAUGUAGGGUUGGAAAUUAAUGAGAGACCCUUGAAACGUUCUCUCUUGGAUCUUGGAAAUUUAACAAUCUCUGGUUCUGCUCAAAAGGGUAUGUUGCUCUUGGUUAAGUUUGUCUUACAGAUUAUUUACUUUAUGUGCGGUUAAGUCUCUUCAUAUUUUCCUGCAAGUAACUAUAUCUAUGCAACUUUAUGAGUAUUAUGAAUAGGAUUUGCUAUGCUUGUCUCCUUAGAAUUUAAUCUCUGUAUUAGCGCAUUUGAUGAACUUAUGGAUAGUGCAUGAUAUUUCAUAACGUGAUAACUGAUAACAAUGGUGAACCCAAUUCUCUGGAUAAGGAGGAGCAAUUUAUUUAAAGAAUAACAAGUGUUAUUACCAAGGUUAUAGAGAUUUGAAUCAUAAAUAGCCGAGUUUUUUCUUUUUAACAAAGGUGAAAAUUGGUUCAAAUAUGUGAUAUAUAAUGUUCAGUGUAAUCAAUAUAAACAAGAAAUGGAUAAAACAUUUAAAAGAAUGAAAAAGAAAAAAACUAUUAAAUAGCUUAAUAAAGUACACAUAUUGAGUGAGUGACAAAGAAAGGUGGAGUAAUCAAAUAGGAUAAGUUCUUAAGUGUUAAAUUCCUCUUCAUUUAAAAUGUAGGCUCACAUGACUUUUGGUUUUCAUAAGAAUUGGUGAAAGAGUAAAACAUCAUGAAUUGUCAAAUCUUAUAGAUGAUAAAAAUUAUAAGGGUUCGUUCAUGUACAGAAAGACAUAAAGUCAUUUUAAGAUUCAUAUUGAGAUAUGAGAUGGCAGAUUGCCAAAAUUUAUUGAAUUGUGAGAUUCUAAUUGUGAAUAGUAAGAUUCUGAUAACUAGGCUAUUUCCCUAUAUAUAACAUAUGGAUUUACGCAUUCUCAUAUCAAUGUGAUUCUGUCACUUGAUGGUGAGGUUAAUAACUAAACUUAAGUGGUUCAAGAACUGAAAAUUUAAUAUAUUUAAUAGUAUAUUUGAAAAAUUGAGGGUGUGGAACUGUGCACCCUCAGUUGAAUGUAGGUCUCCCACUGACUAAUAAUAUUUAGAUGUGUGAAGUUAUCCAGUUAGCAUUGUUUUUUGGAAGAGCAGAAAAUAAUGGAAACAACUCUUAUAAUGAUGAACUGUGCAAUUUGUGUGUGCCUGCAUUAAUCAAACGGGUCUAAGAAAUCAGGCUCACACACAACUCUUCUAUAACCAUAAUUACAAGCAAUGCCUAAACCCUGUUUAAUUUUCUUUAGUUAUGAAUGAAACCCACAAAAUCUCCAAGCUAUUUUCAUGCUCUACCUCUAUAGGACCAAUAAUCCUUGGAUUAGCAUAACAAACUAACUGUGGCCAUUGGUAUUGAUUUAGUUCAUCCUUUCUGGUGGACAUGCUGUUACAAAUGUAUUCUCCAAGCUGAUUCUUACUCAUUCUUCUUAUUGAGCAUGCAAUCCCCAGCUAUAAUGUAUAAGUAUUUUCCUUCCUGUAUUGAGUGUUACAAACUUAAUUUAUUUCAUUAUAAUUUUUUUUUCUUAAAAUGUGGAUUUCUUUUGCUUAUAAUAUCUAUUUUUGUGUUUAAAAAAACAAAGUUGCCAUGAUAGUGAUGCUACCUAAUUAAGGAUGCCGAAUGACUCAAAUGAAGCUAAAUAUGAACAAGUCUUUCUUGAGUUGAGAUGAUUAUUGACAAAAUGAAGUGCUAGGAAAUGCUGGAAUUUUUAGAAUUUAAUGCUGUUUAGAGUAUAUAGCUCAAUCCUGAUAUGAUUUUUCUCUACUAAAGUGGAAUUUCAUAGCAAGAAGGUUUUUGUUCAACAUGUGGAGACAAUAAGCAGCUCUGAGGUCACCUUUGAUAUUGUGCAAUCCUUUGUGGUAUGUUGUCCUCCUAGAUGGUGUUGUUGAUUCUUUCUCCUUAUGAUAGAGUAACAUCAUGAAGCAACAUCGUUCACUUUUUUCUUGAUUUCGAACAUCUUUUAUCUCAGUGUGCUGAGUUGGUAUGAUCAAUAGGGGUGACAAUUUUUAAUCAUCAUUGAGAAACUGGAUAUAUUUCAUUCUAUUGAGUAGGCCUUGUUGAUAGGUGACAAAUUUGAAUCAUUAUUGAUAAACUGGAUGGCCCUUAUCAAUUGACUGUUUCUUUAGGAUCCUGGUUCCAGUUCUGCUUCUAUUUUGAAGACGAAAUUUGAGGAAAGAAAGAACUUCUUCAAGAGGAAUAAUGUAAGUCUUUUCUUCUUCCAUCUCUCGUCUGCCUGUGCAGAAUGACAAAGUCACAUGCUUGUGCAUUCUUUAAGUCAUUAAGUAACUGCUCAGACUAACUGAACUUUUGAUAACUUCACAUUAUUUUAUCAUACUUUUGUCUUUCAUUUUUUCCUACUUUUAAUGUAUGCAGAAGCAAGAUCAGCUAUUGGUUAAAGCUAAACAAGAAAAGGAGGUUUGUUACAUGUCUAAUAUUUAUUCAUAUUUAUGGAUGUGCAUAUCUGUGGACAUUCAUAACGCUAUGCCUUGCAUAAUUUCUUCUCAUAUCCUUCUGUACUACUUUCAUCUGACAAUCCCCUUUCCUAAAUUUUGCAUGAUGGUAUGAUUGUUUUAAGAACUGUUCUUUUUCUUUUCUGUUCCUUUUGUCAUUUUUUCUGAAAAAUUUAAUUUCAUUCAUAUUAUGUUGAACUUAAUAUAUUUUGAGUGUAUAGGAAAAAGUUUCUUAAUAUAUUUUGAGAAAGUUUCUUAAAAUACAUAGGAAAAAGUUUCUUAAUAUAUUUUGAGUGUCUUUCAUGUUCAGAUCUAUGUUAUUCUAACUCCUGUUCAAAUCAAUUGAAAUUUUAUGUAUGGUUGUUUGAAAUUUUAUCAAUGUAGCUAUUUCCUAGUAAAAAGUACAUUGGUUACUUUGUUAAGCAAAUUUUAGAGUUUAAACCUUAUGGAUGAAUAUAAUGUGGUUGGGAGGGGCGAUUCCAUUAUAAGUGGUCAUUCUGGUUUUCUGAUGGGAAUUAGUUAAUGUUGAAUGCUUUGUACCAAUAAAAUCAUUAUCCAUAAAAUAACUUAGUGUCUGAGAUGAUAAGAUUAGAGAAGCUAAACUUUUAAGCUCACUUGCAUAUGAUUUGGGAUAAUUGUGUAAUUGAUUCUCCUGCUUGUGAAUAAAGUACACGAUUUUCCUUUUUAUUCAAAUAAUUCUAACUAUUUCGUGUACAAGGAAAUCUCCUAUCACCCAAAAGUCCUGUGAUAAUGUUCAAUGUAGUUGCAAUAACAACAUUCCUGGAAUUCUUCCACAACCAUUAGCUCAACUAGGUAAGAACUCUUAGGUAAUGUUGGGAAGUUUCUUACAGCUGGCGCAGAUUCAAAAUCUGGUCAUUGCUUUGUGGUGAUAUUCUAUGUUAUAUAUUAUCCAUGGUUAGAUGUGGCUGUUCCAUUACUAAAUUAGUACCUAUGUUAAAGAGUCAGUUUCUUUUUUGUAUCAUGUAAUGGAACACCAAUGCUAUUUCCUAUCCCAAUAAAUUCUUGCGUAGGAAGAUGAUAGACAUGAAAAUUUAUUAAUAAUGGUAUCCUUACAAAUUAAAUUCCCCUCUUCUAUCUCUGAAAUCCUGUCUUUGCUGUAUGUCCCUUCCCUUUCAUAUUUUUAAAGUUUCUCUUAUAUUAAAAUCUCUCCUCAGCACUGAUGUUGAACCAGGGAUGGACCUCAUGUUACGUCUCAGGGGCAGUGCCCACCCUCCCUAGAAAAUGAAAAUCACAUGGGCUCUGUUUAAAAAAAUAAAUUGUCCCCUCGUCUAAUACUCUUUAGCAUUCAUGAUAUUUAUACUAUCUUUUAUCAUUUUUAUAGUUGUGGCUGAAAUAAAUAAUUGAAAGUGAUGAACAAAAUUAUAAAUAGUACUUAUAUUUAUUAAUGUUGUACAUAGAAAUACUAACUAAUUUAAAAUAUUUUAUAUUUUAUACUUCUAAUGUAAAGUACAAAUUUUUCAUGACCACCAUUUUUAAUUCUUUAAUUUUCCAAACUUGUCAUUAUUGUCUUUUUCAUAAAACCUAGAACGAUGUAAACUAAAAUUUGUAUCAGAAAAUUCUCAUAUUAAGAUAUUUUCUGGUUAAACGACAUUGGGUUUACUUGUUGCUUUAGCUUUUAUACCCAGCUUGGUUUACUUGUUGGCGUCCUGUAUCACCAACUGACCUGUUGGAAUUUAUUAAGCUAAGAAUCUUGUUUGAGAUUUUGAGUGGAUUUCCAUACAUAAGAUGUCUUUUAAUAGUUUGAAUUUUGUUUGAAAAAGUUGUUUGGAGCACAGUUAGCUAGGUACAUGUUUGCUUUUGAACGUGGCAAAAGAUUUUUGUUUGGUGUUCACAGAUUUCAACUCUAUAAUUUGUCAAAAGUAAUUGGCUUAGGUGUAAAAUUAUCAAGCUUUCUGUAACAGGUUACCUUGUGGAAUAAUUGUCUCAUUUUAUUCUCUUUCAGUCUUUGGCAAAAGAUGCUCGCUUUGAACAAAUAUGGAAAAGCAGGAAGGGAAACAAAGGGACAGGGACAACACAUGAUAAAGAAUUACAAGAAAUAUGCAAUUUCUAUGACAUUGUUCGCGUUGACAAUGAAGAGAAAAAGAAGGAAGUGCAACCGCAGUAAGUAUUUCCAUCAGAAUGUUGUUAAUCGUAGCAAGUAAAAAAUCUGCCAUAAAAUUAUGUCAGACGGAAAAUUGGCCUAUAAUGGAAGCAUGUCAGCUACAAUAAAAUUGUAAUGAGACGAAUUGAGAAUAGGAAUGUCCAUAUUACGACCUGGGAAUUGUAAGAUUCAUGAUCAAUAAUAAAACAUAACUCUAAGAAGAAUUUAACAUAAAGAAACAUAUACAAAUCAAUACACACAAGUUAAAUAGCUAGCUAAGUGACAAGUUUUAAAUUAUUUUUUAUUUAGCUUCCAAAUUUUCUUGAUUAAAUUUGAACAUAAAACCUGAUUAUAAUAAAUCUAGAGUUUGUUCUUUCUCUAUAUAUUGAUUAUGUGAAGGUAAUAUGGAUGUCGGUCCUUCAAUGGAGUGACAAUGUUAGGAGUCCCACAUUAAGUAGGAUGAGCUAUUUGAUGCAGUAUUAAACCCUGGAGACUCACCCACCUAAUGGUUUAGUAUUUUAGAUUGAACUCUCCCAUUGUACUUCAGUCCAAACAGAAACGUAAUCAUGCUGUCGCUUUUACUUGCACGCUUUCUUAUUGAAUUUUUGCCAUGCUUUGCCGUACUGCUUGGCUACAAUUUAACAAAACUGUUUCAUCAGAAUUUUUGUUUUCAUAUAUUUGGACAACUAUAAUAAAAAACGUUUAAUGUGAUUGAUGCAGAGAAAUCUCAUUGGAGGAUCAAAGACUUCUGUCUAGUUACCUUCCUUUACUGAGAGAAUUUAUUCCUAAUGCGGCUGAAGAGGUUGAAGCCGAUUUGAUUGCUCAUUUGAGUGGUCAUUCCAAAGGAGGUGGUUAUUUUAUUUAGUUGCUAAAUACACUAUUAAAAUAUUACUGAUUCUGCUACUUUUUGCCCAAUGCGCACUUAUUUUUUUUAAAUAACUGACAGAUGAGUGAAAGCAAACACAUUUUUCUUAUUCUUGUUGAUUAUAGAAAAAAAAUGUCUUAGUUAUUUUGUGGCAUUUUAUCAUUGUCUCCACUUCAGUUAGUUGCUUUGUAUGCAGUAUUUGCUGACCGUUUUUCUUGUUUAUAUGGUUUCAAUUUAAUUGGUCUUGUGUGACGUACUCCAGAGAAUUAUGUGUAUGACCUAUACACUGUGACGGAUGAGAUGGAUAUAAGCCCAGAAGAUACUUUAGCUUCUUAUCCACUGUGAGUGUUUUGUCAUUAUGUUCAAAUGGCUUUCUUUUUGUCUUGCUUCUGGACACUUGUUUAUUUUGGCUCAGUGUUCAAGUUGAGGAGGAGGAGGACUAUUAUGAUGGCCCAGAUGAUUCAGAUUAUGAAUCUGAUGACUCAAAUGGUAUUCGCUAGUCUACCUACCUUUUCACCUCAUUACACCCUUCAAAACGUAAUCACAUACGGCUAAACAUUUCAUUACUUUUGUUGGUUAUAGCUGAAAACAAUCCAUUGAAUGAUUAUCCGGAUGAGAUUUCUGAAGAGGAUGAAGAAGAGGUUGAAGAUUCCGAGAGUGAAUCAGAAGGUGUAAAUGGCGAUGCUAGUAACGAAUCUUCAAACGAGGAUACAGAACAUCAUGGUUUUUCCAAAGAUGAUGCUGAUCCAUAUGAUGAGGAUUUUGAUGAGUAUGAAGGUGUUUGUAAUGAUGAUGAGAAUGAUGAAGAUGAAGAUUGGAGGUGGUCGUACCGAUGAAGUUGACUUUGCUGAAGGAACGAAAAUGCUGAUGUUGAUGUUAUAUCUAUGGGGUGGGGUAAAAGUUUUGAACAAAAUCAAAACUGUGCAGCAGCCGUCGAACUAGAUAUAGACAUUAGGGAUGUUAUAGGCAUUUUUUCCUUGUGGACCUAAUUUUUUGUGUUGGAAUUUGAGCUAGAAUGCUUACUUCUUUGAUAAAGGGUUUUUAUCAUCAUUAUAUCUUGUAUAACUUGUAGUUUUUACAGAAAGGGUUUGGAUACUGGCUAACGUCUAUUCUCUACACGUACAAGUUCUACUUCAGUGUAAAAGUGGUGUUUGGAUAUAUAACAUUUAACAACUUAUGGCUUAAAGAAUCUGUCACUAGGCCUUGCAAAAAGGUUAAUAUUUGAAGUCUCCAACAAAAGCUUUUCACAGAACUGCACCUGUAAAAUAAGUGGAAAAAUAUUUCCUCAAUAAAAUUUCAUAAUGGUGAACAGUCUCCUUUUUGUUUUGGAAACAAAAAUAUAAAAUCUCACCUGAUUUUAUAUAUUAUACUUGGAAAUGGUGCCCUAUUAUUAUUUUUACUUUCAAAUUUUGGGAUUAAAAUGUUUUUAAAUUUGAUGAACUGCAAUAUUCUUAAAUUUUGAAAAUUAAAAACACAUUUUUAAUUAAAUAAUUAAAAAAUUUAGUUUUUAUAUGAUUUUUAAUAAUUUUAAUAAUAUAAAAUAUUUAUGUAAUUCUAUCAUAAUGAAUAUGAAUAUUUUGUAGUUCUUCUCAUAAUAUAUAUAUAUAUAUAUAUAUAUAUAUAUAUAUAUAUAUAUAUAUAUAUAUAUAUAUAUAUAUAUAUAUAUAUAUAUAUAUAUAUAUAUNNNNNNNNNNNNNNNNNNNNNNNNNNNNNNNNNNNNNNNNNNNNNNNNNNNNNNNNNNNNNNNNNNNNNNNNNNNNNNNNNNNNNNNNNNNNNNNNNNNNNNNNNNNNNNNNNNNNNNNNNNNNNNNNNNNNNNNNNNNNNNNNNNNNNNNNNNNNNNNNNNNNNNNNNNNNNNNNNNNNNNNNNNNNNNNNNNNNNNNNNNNNNNNNNNNNNNNNNNNNNNNNNNNNNNNNNNNNNNNNNNNNNNNNNNNNNNNNNNNNNNNNNNNNNNNNNNNNNNNNNNNNNNNNNNNNNNNNNNNNNNNNNNNNNNNNNNNNNNNNNNNNNNNNNNNNNNNNNNNNNNNNNNNNNNNNNNNNNNNNNNNNNNNNNNNNNNNNNNNNNNNNNNNNNNNNNNNNNNNNNNNNNNNNNNGAUUUUGGGACACGAUAUAUAUUAUGCACACUACAUGCAUCCCUUAUAUUGAUGACCGUUCGGUCACUUUUACUGACUUGAGCGUUGGAGUGCCUUUGGCAGGUACUCGCCCCCGCCCGGCUUGGAGAAGAAGGAAGGAGAGAGAACGAACAAGCUUGAGUUUGAAGAGGACCAUGAUGACCGUCCGGCCUCCAGCAAGUCCCCGUCAGGAAUGUUCUAAGGGACCUCCAAACUCGACCGAAACAUUAAUGGCGCCCACCGUGUGGCCGAGCAUGCAUCCCCAUUCGUACCCAUAAGGAAAGGGUGAGUAGUGCUCUCAAGAAUCUCAGGUGAACCUCUCAAGCCGCUCGGUUCCGGCCCUUCGGGCUCAACCAUCCGGCCCUUCGGCCUCAACUGCUCGGCCAUUCGGCCUCACAGGUACUUAGCCAAAUUUGGCAGCAACUAUUCGGCCCAUCGGCCUCAAUUACUCGACCCAUCGGCCUCAACCAUCCGACCCUUCGGCCUCAACUGCUCGGCCAUUCGACCUCAGGUACUUAACCAAAUUUGACAGCAACUAUUCGGCCAUCGGCCUCAAUUGCUCAGCCCAUCGGCCUCAACCAUCCGGCCCUUCGGCCUCAACUGCUCGGCCAUUCGGCCUCACAAGUACUUAGCCAAAUUUGGCAGCAACUAUUCGGUCCAUCAGCCUCAAUUGCUCGGCCCAUCGGCCUCAACUGCUCGGCCAUUCGGCCUCACAGGUACUUAGCCAAAUUUGGCAGCAACUAUUCGGCCCAUCGGCCUCAAUUUCUCGGCCCAUCGGCCUCCACCAUCCGGCCCUUCGGCCUCAACUGCUCGGCCAUUCGGCCUCACAGGUACUCAGCCAAAUUUUGGAGCAACUAUUUGGCCCAUCGGCCUCAAUUGCUCGGCCCAUCGGCCUCAACCAUCCGGCCCUUCGGCCUCACAGGUACUUAGCCAAAUUUGGCAGCAACAAUUCGCCCCAUCGGCCUCAACCAUCCGGCCCUUCGGCCUCAAUUGCUCGGCCAUUCGGCCUCACAGGUACUUAACCAAAUUUGACAGCAACUAUUCGGCCCAUUGGCCUCAAUUGCGUGGCCCAUCGGCCUCAACCAUCCGGCAUUUCGGCCUCAACUGCUCGGCCAUUCAGCCUCACAGGUACUUAGCCAAAUUUGGCAGCAACUAUUCGGCCUAUCGGCCUCAAUUGCUCAACCCAUCGGCCUCAACCAUCUGGCAUUUCGGCCUCACAGGUACUUAGCCAAAUUUGGCAGCAACUAUUCGGCCUAUCGGCCUCAAUUUCUCGGCCCAUCGGCCUCAACCAUCCGGCCCUUCGGCCUCAACUGCUCGGCCAUUCAGCCUCACAAGUACUUAGCCAAAUUUGGCAACAACUAUUCGGCUCAUCGGCCUCAACCAUCCGGCCCUUCGGCCUCAACUGCUCGUCCAUUCGGCCGCACAGGUACUUAGCCAAAUUUGGCAGCAACUAUUCGGCCCAUCGGCCUCAAUUGCUGGGCCCAUCGGCCUCAACCAUUUGGCCCUUCGGCCUCAAUUGCUCGGCCAUUCGGCCUCACAGGUACUUAACCAAAUUUGACAGCAACUAUUCGGCCCAUCGGCCUCAAUUGCUCGGCCCAUCGGCCUCAACCAUCCGACAUUUUGGCCUCAACGGCUCGGCCAUUCGGCCUCACAGGUACUUAGCCAAAUUUGGCAGCAACUAUUCGGCCCAUCGGCCUCAAUUGCUCGGCGACCGGGGAUCUUCAACAAAUGAAUCCCGGCCGGCCUUUCUGAAGGUCGGCGACCGUGGAUCUUCAACAAAAGAAUCCCGGCCGGCCUUUCCUAAGGUCGGCGACCGUGGAUCUUCAACAAAAGAAUCCCGGUUGGCCUUUCCGAAGGUCGGCGACCGUGGAUCAACAACAAAGGAACCUCGGUUGGCCUCACCAAAAAUCUCCACAACAUCACUUAAGCAGGAUCAGUGGGCCGUCCACUCAUCAACAAGAAGAGGCGACUUAAAGGCAAAAGCAAACCAAGCCACUCGUCCUUUCCAGGAGAGCCACCUACUAAAACCCAUCGCAUCAUUGACAUCAUGCUCGGGCUUAGGGGGCUGAUGUACCGUACAGUACCCGGGGACCGUACGGUCUCCUAGGCAUCACUAGGCCGACCAUCCAGGUCGACCAACCACCAGGCCGAUCAUCCAGGCCGAUCAUCUACGCCGACCACCAGGCCGACCAUCUGGGUCGACCAACCAUCAGGUCGAUCAUCCAGGUCACCAGGCCGAUCAUCCAGGCCGACCAGUCGGGUCACCAGGCCGACCAUCUGGACAUAUUAUAAACGAUAAUAGUUCAUUAAAGCCCCUAAUGGAGGUUAAGGUGUGAUUAGGCCGUCAUCAGGCCCACGAAAGGUAAAAGCCCAUUACAACUAGUAUAAAUAAAGGUCUCAGGUAUGAUUUUGGGACACAAUAUAUAUUAUGCACACUACAUGCAUCCCUUAUAUUAAUGACCGUUCGGUCACUUUUACUGACUUGAGCGUCGGAGUGCCUUUGGCAGGUACCCGCCCCCGCCCGACUUGGAGAAGAAGAAAGGAGGGAGAACGAACAAGCUUGAGUUUGAAGAGGACCAUGAUGACCGUCCGGCCUCCAGCAAGUCCCCGUCAAGAAUGUUCUAAGGGACCUCCAAACCCGACCGAAACACACACACAUAUAUAUACAUAUAUAUAUAUAUAUAUAUAUAUAUAUANNNNNNNNNNNNNNNNNNNNNNNNNNNNNNNNNNNNNNNNNNNNNNNNNNNNNNNNNNNNNNNNNNNNNNNNNNNNNNNNNNNNNNNNNNNNNNNNNNNNNNNNNNNNNNNNNNNNNNNNNNNNNNNNNNNNNNNNNNNNNNNNNNNNNNNNNNNNNNNNNNNNNNNNNNNNNNNNNNNNNNNNNNNNNNNNNNNNNNNNNNNNNNNNNNNNNNNNNNNNNNNNNNNNNNNNNNNNNNNNNNNNNNNNNNNNNNNNNNNNNNNNNNNNNNNNNNNNNNNNNNNNNNNNNNNNNNNNNNNNNNNNNNNNNNNNNNNNNNNNNNNNNNNNNNNNNNNNNNNNNNNNNNNAUAUAUAUAUAUACACACAUAUAUAUAUAUAUACACAUAUAUAUAUAUAUAUAUAUAUAUAUAUAUAUACACACAUAUAUAUAUAUAUAUAUAUAUACACACAUAUAUAUAUAUAUAUAUACAUAUAUAUAUAUAUAUAUAUAUAUAUAUAUAUAUAUAUAUAAAAGUUUUCAAAAUUAGUGUUUAAUAUAAUUUUGCAAGUCGUAUAAUUAACUCUACUUUAUUACUUGUUUCAUUAUGUGGGAUUGAGAUAUACACUUUCACAAUUUAGUCUUCUUUUAUUCCUAUUGAGUUCUAACUAUACUUGUAUAAUUAACUCCACUUUAUUACUUGUUUCACUAUGUGGAAUUGAGAUAUACACUUUCACAAUUUAGUCUUCUUUUAUUCCGGUUGAGUUCUAUCGAUAGCUUUCUAUCAUUUGUUGUCUUUUCUCCGUGAUCAGAAUUCAAACAAAAGUACAUGUUAAAGAUACUUCAGACACUUAAAUUAAUUUUAGAUUACCAACCAAUUAUUAUAAUUAAGUUUAAAAAUAUACAAUAAAUACAAUUAUUUAUCUUUUUACCUUACCUCUAUAUUUACAUGAUUCUAUAUAAACCUUUGAUUACUAAUGAUCCAAUCAUAAUCUAAUCACGUCUCAAUAUUGUCUAAAAUGUUUUUAUUCCGCUAACUAAAAUGACGAUAUACUGUACAUUAACCGGUUCGGUUAUUACUGCGGGUUCUUCCCGAUCGGUUCAUAUAGUACAUAAAAGUGUUUUGCUUAUUCAAAGCAUCAUAAUUUUUCUUCAACAAUAUUUGCCCACAUAAACAACGGUGUUUGUAUAAGCCACGUCAUAUUAUUUGCUCCAGUGAUAACUUAUGUUAGACAACAGUUAUGUUAAGCUUCAAACAAAUUAUGUUAGGCUACAGUUACGCAACGAACAAAUGUACUGGAGAUCACCUGAACAAUUUCACAGUUAGAACCUUAUGUUGCUUUGAUAACUAAAAUGAAACUAUGUUCAGCAAAUUGUACUAGAAUAAAUGAGAUUAUUGAGUAUAAUUUUCAUGUAUAAUCAUUAUAAAUUAUCAACUAAUCCAAUAACCAUUAUUUGUAAAGCGUAAGCCAUGGUUAUGCCUGUUACAUAGUGUUGCAUUGUGUGAAGUUGAGUUAAAGUAAAAGAAGAACAGAAACCAAAUUUUACUGUUAGAGAAUUAUUUAUGUACCACUAACACUAACAUUCAUACUGAGCAAGUAAUACAGUCCAAAAAUCGAUGUGAACAGAACCUAUAGAUGGAUGAAAUAGGAGCCAUGGGGUGCAACAUUUGUUCUUUCUCGUGUUGUCGCAUGACAACUGAAGAUACUGUACACCAAUCAAAUCCUUCCUAAUACAAUUUUCCAUAACGACAAGCAUCUUGCGCGGAGAAAUGAACUGAGGUUACCAAAGAAUUCACCACAGUUGACUACAACUAGACGUGAAACUGUGGUACCACUUAUCCUAACAAACAAUCAUCAGCACUGCAACUAGUUGUGCUCAUACUACCCAUACAACAACAUAUUGUAUAUAUUAAUUACCAUGGAGCAGCAUUCCUUCCCGCCACUAAUACAGCAUGGAAGUCGGAAAACUAGCUACUUCAGAAAUUCUCGUAGUAUGUAUCUUCAAAUACAUCGCCAAAAGGGAUGAAUAACUGAGUGUGAGACCCUCGAACUCCCAGUGUCAUGUGCUUCCUGGAGCAUCACUUCCCACAGCUGGUUUGCGAUUCAGAUAUCGAAUAACAGCAUCUUCAACCCUGUUCAAGUUGUCAAACAAGAUCAAAUUUUACAAUGAUUGUAACUGACGUGCAUUUAUAUAACAUCGAAGAAAAAGCACAUAGACACCGAUCAAGUCUAUGAAUAUAAAUUGGCACAAACACUAAGCAACUAUUGAGACUUAAAAGUGCUAUGAAUAUAAAAAGAAGGAACAGCGUUAAGUGCAAUCUUUAGAAGCCUCAGGGGUGUCAAUAUGAUUUGCUCAAAGGAAAAACAUGUUAUGCACUUUUAGUCACAUCUGAAUUCUGAAAUGAAAUCCUCCCGUGGAUAUGAAUAGAAUCCAAAGAAUAUCAUACAUCACCCUAAACAAAGGCAACACAUAUCCAAGUAAACUAUUAAUCUCUAAACUAUAAAGCUAGAUUUUAAAUUAUUCUCAAUACAUCAAUGGUAGCAAUGUUGACAGUAUAGUGAACAAAAAAUAAGUUAAAGCUUACCAUGGUUGGUUGAAGAAAUCUGAUCGACGCUCUUUUUCUGCAUUGCGACUAGGUUCUCCGGAAACAAGUUUCAGAUCCCUGCUUUGAGAUUCAAUCAAUGCAUUAAUAAAUUCUACUGGCGAUUGACUGAAACCAAGAAAGAAUGACCGUCUCCUUCUGUGCUCAUGAAUUUUUCUAAUGAUUCCACAUAUUGCUUCAUCACAUGUCUCAAUCUCUUUGUUCUUUUCCACAUUGGCCAAUAAAGCAGACAACUCCCUCUGAAUUGGGAAAGGAACAUCAACCAUCACAUCAUAACAAGCAGUCCCAACUGGACUGUUUCCCGAUAGCUUGAUCUUGUGUUCCAAAAGUAUAGGCUGUGGAGGGAAUAAAUGUGAAGAUAUUUUCUGCGAAACCAUUGUAAACUUCAUCUUUUCUUCUCCAAAUACUUUCUGAAGAGGCUGAUCACAGUGAAAGAAAGAAGGGUCAUUAGGGUUUUGCAACUUCCUGGCCUUUACAUAGUGCCAGAUCGCUGCAACAAUCCUUGGGCGGGUAUCAACCUCAAUACCAAGAACCUCUGUCAAAGCAGGUGAAAGCUUAAACUUCUCUGGCACAUAAUUCAUUUCCAGACGUAUAUUCACUGUAAACUCUUUAUCCCCUUUCCUCUUUACUUCAAAACCUUCAUGUGGAGCAGGAGAUCGAGCAUUCUCCCACAUAAUAAUGUGACUAUCUGGAUAUAGUCUCUGAUCUAAAGAAAUGGUUACUCUUUUGAAGAAAGCUGAAAACUUCGGAUACAAAGGAGUGGACUUCUGAACCACUCCUGGCUGAUCAGGGUCUACACCAUCUUCCAAUAUCCUUCCAACUAUCUUCAGCGUCCAGGUUGGAGGCUCUGCACUCGGCUUCUUUGGAAUUGUGCGAAUUUGAUUAGCAAAAGUGUUAAAUACAUAGAUGCGAAGAGUUUUCUGAAUACAGGGUGGGUUUUUGAGCGCUUCCUGGAUGUCAGCCUUCUUUCUAGCAAGUGCGGCAUCAACACGAGACUCAAACUCUAGAAGCUGUGUGUACAGUGCGGACUCGGGUAGUAUAGCUGCCACUUUAUCUUGCAGCUGUUUCUCGGGAAGCUUCUGCUUCUUCCUCCGCGAAGCAGGUGUGAGCUCCAUCGGUCUCAAAGGGGAGAAGUUGUUAGGAGGGGAAAAUCCCACUGGCCGAAUUGGGGGUUUUAGAGGGAUCCGUUUCCCACUUGCAUUACCCGGUGUGGAAAUAGCCGACGACAGCCCCAAACUCCCCAAACCACCAACUUGGUUCUGAUUAAGAGUCAACCCCUGUGCUUGCAAAUGAGCCUGGAUUUGAGCAUGGGCUGCAGCUGCUGCUUGGGCAUGAGCCUGAGCCUGGGCCUGGGCCUUGGACUGAGCUUGGACAAUAGCAUGAGCCUGGGAAAGUGGAAACUGCCCUUGAAAACCAACGGGAAUCUGCCCUUGUCCUUGGGACUGUGAAAAACCAUGGUUUGCAGGUAUAGAAUUGGAGGGUAUUCCAGCAUUGCCAAAGGAUGAGGAAGACGCCCCAAUGCCCUUAGAAGGGUUAUUAUUGUUCACAGACAUCACUGUCCAAACCUAAUCCACUAGUCAACCAGAAAUGGGCAAAACAAAAAACAAAAACAAAACCUCAAUACCAAAAUGAAAAUAUCCUAUCUUUUAGCUCUCGAUCUUAACCAGUGAACCAAGUGGGAAAAUAACCAACAAAAUCAAGCGUCCAAAUUCAAAACUCGCGUGAGUCGCCACCAACUACGAAUUUGCAUUGCCCCGGAAAAUUACAAAAAACCGCAAAUGAAAAACCACUGAAUCGACUAGGGUUUACCUCGAUCUGGCUUUGGAAGGAUCCGCGUAACUCCAGGUGAUUAGAAGAACACGAGAUUAGCUUCGGCACAUGGGGCUUCGGUGGGAGAGAGGGAUGGAUUGGAAGGAUCUGGAAUUUGAGGAGAGAGUGGGCUAAAUUAGAGAAAUGGGAAAGAGUGAGAAAAUUUGGGAGUGGUUCUUUUCUGGAAGGUGGACGAUGAUUGCGCUGAAGCCUGGCUAGGGUUAGGAAAAUGGCCCAAAUUUUAGAGGUCAAACCUCAAAGUUUAGUCACUGAAUGAGAGUAUGCCUUCCCUUCUACCUUUCCAGCAAAACGCCGUCGUUCCUGUUGCCUCGUUCUUCCUACAAAGUGAUAUUUUCUAAAAAUAUUUUAAUAAUGUUUUGUUUUUUCAUUAUGAAUUUAUUUUAUUCAUUUUGAUCUCAUGUAUGAUUGCUAUUUAUUAUCAUAUAACAUACUAAAUUAGGGACAUCUCUAUUCAUGUUUUUGAGAAAGUUUUAAAAUAUUAUUUAAAGCACAGCUCAAAUAACUUUAUGUAUUUCUGUUUGUUUUACAUUAAAUAAUUAAAUAUAUCUUUUAAAAUGUUAAGUGACUUUGCAAUAUUAGAUAAGGAAAAAUGUAAUCAUGAAUGGAGAAAUAUAUUUAGUAAGACUUUAAAAAUAUAAUAAAUUUUAUUAUUAGGAAGAAAAUAAACUUUGAUAUUCCAGUUAUGAUUUGAAAAGCUUAACUAGUCCAACCGUUUUAACUGCAAUGGAAUUAACUUACUAACUAGACUGGUCACAUUAAAAUAGAAUUUUUCCAAAAUUGGUAAGUGGUCAGGAAUCAGUCAAACUUUGGUGCAUUCGACCCAUUUGAACAGAAAAUCAUUGAAUUUGGGAUUUUAAUUUAGUAAAACACAAUAGGUAAUUGGUUUAUUUUGAAAUAAAAGGGCUUCUUUUGGUGAUUAAAACAAAUUAAAAUUCAAAAGAAAUAGAUUAGAAUAAAAUCAUUUUAACCUAUUAAAAUGAAAUUUAAUGUGUUAAAUGUAUUGGUAGAGUUUUGAAAACAAUAGUAUAUGCUGUUAUUAAUAAAGUAAAUUAACCUUUUUAAUUAUUAAAAGCACUAAAAGUUCCAUAUUAACCCAUUUUAAUAAAUUAAAAGGGUUUUUAAUAUACUAAAACAAAAAGAAAUAUUCUGUAUUUGCGAAAAUUAAAUCAAAACUAAAAGUAAUCAAAUACCUUUAACUUUAAAUAAAAAUCAAUACAUUAAUUAAAACUGAAAUUAAAGUAAAAUAUGUAAUGAUAAAAAUAGAGAAACAAAAAGUUCAAUGAACUAAAUUUAUAAAGGGAUUAAUUAAAGAUUUUUAUAGUUCAUUUUUUUUAAGAAAAGCUUUCUUUUUAAGUUAUCCAGUUCAAACUUUAUUUAGAACUGCAUUUCUAGAACUAGGACCAUUAGACUGGGAGAGUCUCACCGACUUGAAAAUUUGAUAGAAAGGAACAUUCUCCUUUUAAUAAUUUACUUUGGAUAAUUUAAUUUUAAUUAUCAAAUAAAUUCUGAUAUUGUAUGUUCACUUCAUAUAUUUUUAUCAUAACAAAUAAUAUUUAAUUUUAUUUAAUAGUUGAUUUUAGUUAAUAAGAAUGAUAAAUAUAUUUGUGCGUAGGUAGAGAUCUGUUUUUGUUUGUUCUUACAUAAUUGAAAAUUUUGAGAAGAUUCUUCAAACUCUUUUUAGAGAAGACUUCUUAUUCUUCAAUCCAAAAUAUUUUAGUAUAUUUUAGUAUUUGGAUGGUAGUUGUAUUUUAAACUGAAAUAUUUUAGGUUAUAGUUUUUCAAGAUUGAAAAAGAAUGUGUUUACGGAAGAACUUUAAUGUUUAAAUUAGUCAAGUGCAUUACAUAACAAUAGAUAUUGUAAUAAUAGAUAGGUUAAUCAUUUUUGAGGUUCCUAUUUAUGCAUAAAUGUCUCAAAUAGGUCAUUUUAUUAUUUGUUUUUUAUCUUAGUUAGGUAUCUAUUUGUAUAAAAUUGACUUAAUUGCACUUUUGUCGUUAAUUUGAGUGAACGAUAUUAACAUUUUAGCCACAUGGUAUGCUUAGUUUGCAAAUGUUAACUACGUGGCAUAUUGAAGUCGCAUUACGUGGUAUAAUAUGUUUUACCUAGUGGCAUUAUUUUAUGUUUUAAAAAAGUAAAGAUUAAAAAAGAGGUCUUGUACUAAAUUGGGGAUUAUACAAAGUUAGGGUUUGAGGGGUUUUUUAUUUUUGUUCAAAAUUGGGGAUCAUUCAAUCAAAGUAGUUGUUGAUCUACAACAUUAAGGUUUCGUUGUAGAUCAAAAUUGUUCUUUUGCGACGUAGGUGCCUGGGUUGCGAAAAUCUCUUUCUCAUCCAAAAAUUAGGGUUUUCGAAUUAGGGAAAUCUUCCUCAUGUAUUUUUCUCUCUUUGUGAUUGUUAACGCAAAUAGGGUUUCACCCUUUCAUCUGCGACGACACAUAGCAACGCAAUGGUGUUCAUGUUAUAAUGAUGACUUUCCCUAUUGUGCGAAAUUGCAGGUUCGUGGCUCGAAGAAAUUGUAGGUUCAUUCUUGUAGGUUCCAUUCGCAGAGAAGAUGAACUCGCGAACUGGGUUAUGUUUUCUGAUUGCAGGUUUUGAACCGUGAUUUGGGUGCUUGAAGAUGAUGGAGGACACAAAUCUAGUUCGUGAGACGCGAUUAGGAUUCACGGCGGUGGCGGUUUGUGUUUGAUGUUUCUGGUUGGGGAUUUUUCUGGGUUUAUAGGUAAAGACGCAAAGGUGACGAUUUGUGGUUGAAGGUGUGGUUGCUUGCACGAUUCUCGUGAUUUGGUGAAGGUUGGGUGAAUCGCAACGGUGCUCUACGACGGCUUGCGGCAACUUUGUGAUUUGGGUGGUGGCUUUCCUCCAACUACUUUCGUUACUUGAUUCUGUGUAAAAAAUCCCUAAAUAAUCCCUAAUUUAGGAUAAAAUGUUUUAUUUUAAUUAAAUUUUAGUUUUUUAAAAACUUAAAAUAACUAAAUUCAAUGUUAUGCGACUAACUUUGCCACGUGGUUAACAUUUGCAAACUUAGCAUGCCACGUGACUCAUAUGUUAACGUCGUUCACUCAAAUUAACAACAAAGGUGCAAUUGAGUCAAUUUUACACGAAUAAAGACCUAAUUAAGAUAAAAAAUAAUAGAAGGAUCUAUUUGAGACGUUUCUGCAUAAAUAGGGACAUCGAAAGUGAUUAAACCUAAUAGAUAUGUCCCCUAUUUACCUCGUGUAUUGUGUUAUUUAUACUAUAUUUUAUGUUUUUUCUUUUACCUAAAUGGAUCUGGUCUACGUGGUUAAUUACCAUGAGUAGUCUUUAAUUAACCAAUUUUGCUAAUGAUUCUUUAAUCUUGAUGUUAAUAUGAUCAACAUAAUUAAUGCUUGUCACGAAGGUUGCUUUAGCCGAUAUGUAGUCGGCUAAGUUGUCAUGGUAUGUCCUUAUACCAUAAGGGUCAAGUACAUCUAAGCACAAGUAGUUGAUGUACUCGCACACAUGUGGUACACUUGCCCCCAGGCUUAAUAUGGAUAUACUUGAGUCUUGAUGUUGUUGCCAUGGUGUUGGUACCUGUUGACAUUAUGUGAGAAAUUUUGGAUUUAUUUGGUCUUGUCCUAUAGGUAUAAUAGUCCUCAUGAGUAGUCUUUAAUUAACCAAUUUUGCUAAUGAUUCUUUAAUCUUAAUGUUAAUAUGAUCAACGUAAUUAAUGCUUGUCACGAAGGUUGCUUUAACCGAUAUGUAGUCGGCUAAGUUGUCAUGGUAUGUCCUUAUACCAUAAGGGUCAAGUACAUCUAAGCACAAGUAGUUGAUGUACUCGGACACAUGUGGUACACUUGCCCCUAGGCUUAAUAUGGAUAUACUUGAGUCUUGAUGUUGUUGCCAUGGUGUUGGUACCUGGUGACAUUAUGUGAGAAAUUUUGGAUUUAUUUGGUCUUGUCCUAUAGGUAUAAUAGUCCCCUAGAGGAGCAUAGUGACGAAGAGGUUUGAAUGAUGGGAUGUUAGGUUUGAAUAAAUGUGAGUGGUGAGUAGUUUUCAGGAUCAUAGGAAACCAAGCGAGAAAAUCCUUAGAAAAUCUCAUAAUUCUUUGUAUUGUUUAUAUCCUCUUUUUGAGAGUUAUCAAUUUGUUUCUUUGCUCAAAACAUAAACAUUGUUUGUGUUAUAAAUUCUGAAGAAAAUUAAAACACUUGGUGUUUAACUCAAUUGAGUUAAAAAGUCUAGAUUGUCUAGGGUUGGACCAGAAGUGGUAAGAAUACUUGUAAACCAGGAGUGGUUAAACUCGAACUAGUCAUAUUGACUAGGUGAACCAAGAGUGAUGAGAAUACUCUUUAUAUAUCUGAAGAGGUAAAACUCAUGAAAUCUUUUUAAAGAUUAGUGGAACUCCUUAAGAGUUCUUAAGAAAGAACUAGACAUAACUCAAGUUCAGUAAACCAAUAUAAAAUUUGUGUUUUAUUGCUUUUCUUCUUCAAAAGCUUUCUUAAAACUCCUUGUUAAACACUAUCGUUUGAACUUAUCCUUUGUCUAUCAAUCCUUUUAAAAACUAUUACUUGUAAAAGGUUUUAAAAACACUAUUUACCCUCCCUCUAGUGUUUUCCUGUGUUUCCAAUACAAGCUACAUUUGAAUGAAAGCAAUGAUAAAGCGUUGUAACGUUGUAACAUAGACCUGAAUCUAACCAGUUACCAACAAAGCCUAUGAAGUCUAUCUAGGAGUCAAAUCUGUGUCUAACGGUCAUUUCUCAAUAAGGCUAUAUAAAGAAGAUCUACUAAAGAGAAUAAGUUAUUGAAGUUGAGGAAGGUGAAAAUAGAAGAGAGAAAAGAACAUGCUCAAGAAAGAUCAUUAAACAAUGUCUUCACUCUACCUCAAGCAUAUAUCGUCUGAUGUUCUUCAACCUAAGAGGAAGAAUCUCAUAUGUUUACAUAUUGUAUUGUGUUGUACUUAUCCUCUCCUUGAGAGUUAUUCAAAUUUGUAUUUGUAAUCAAACACUGAAGGUGUUUGCAUCAAAUCAUUGUAUUGAGCUAAACGUUCUAGUCAAGAUUGACUAGGGAACCAAGGGUGGUUGACAAUACUCGGUUGUAAACCAGGAGUGAUUAUAACCCUUGACAACCAAGAAUGGGUAAACUCAAACUAGUCAAGAUUAACUAGGGAUACCAAGAGUGGUUAGAAUACCUGGAUACUAAAAGUGGUUAGAAUACCUGGAUACUAAAAGUGGUUAAACUUGGACUAGUUAGGAUUGACUAAGGGAACCGGGAAUGGUUUAGAAUACUCAUAUUAAUCAGGAUUGAUUAGGGGACUAGGAGUGGUGAUAAUACUUGCAACCAGGAGUAGUGGUAAUACUUGAAACUAGGAGUGGGUUAAACUCAGUUGUAAUCUUGAAUAAGAUUAGUGGAACCUUUCAAGAGUUCUUGAGGGAGACUAAAUGUAGCUUAGGAUGAGUGAACCAAUAUAAAAACAUGUGUGUUAUCAUUUUCUUUAUUUGAAAUGUUUUCUUUACAAAAGAUUUUUGAAAGUUGUAUUCAAACAACACCUCCUCCCCCCCUUUUCAGUGUUUUCCUACCCUUUCGAGUACUCACUCAAUUUCUCUCAUACUCACUUUAUAUAUUCAUAUAUUUUAUGCAUUUACUGACUUAAGAGUCAAAGAAUAUUUUGCAGUUGGAUUGUUCGUUCCAUGAUCAACAUUUCUACGUCAUCUUAAAGGAUCCAUGCUUCUUUUUUUUUUCCAGUAAGACAACUCCUAUAAUUUUUUUGACUCAAUAUUUUGACUCAAUAAUAAUAAUAAUAAUAAUUAUAAUUAUAAUUGUGAGGGUAAUAAUAUGUGAACUGCAACAACCUAAAGUAUAAUAAAAAAUUGCACUAAAACAAGUUGAAUGAUAAAAGAAUAUACUUUUUCGAAUUAAAAACACAAUGAUAAUAAUAAUUUUAGCAUAUUUAAGUUUUUUUUUUUUCACUAAGCAUAUAAUCUUAAAUGUAAUAAAAUUAAAAGGUGCGUAAUUUUGAAUUCCUAACUGUAUUUGUGGGGUUUGGUUUUAAGGCCAAACCCAAAGGGGAAAAGAGGGUCAUAAUGAGUAUCUCCAACAUUCAUUGGUAACUGAUCAACACUUUUGAACCAUGUCCUUGGAAGCUUUCCUCUAAAACCAUAGUCACCAAACAAAACAUCAGUCACACCAUUUCCCUCAGUACCAGGAAGCCAAGCAGCAACCAGAGCAUCAAUUUUCUCAACAUAUGGUUCUAUAACCAAAGGACGACCAGAGAUUAUCACAGUAACACACUUCACUCCUCCACACACAUUUUUUAUGGUUUCUGGCCCAGCUGCAGAGAUUGUCAAAUUCAAGCUAUCACCUUUUGUUUCAGCAUAUGGUUUCUCUCCAACUACCACAAUGCCAUAUGAAAAAUUAUUAGACUUCACAUAGUCCAAAUCAGGAUUCUCCUUGUACACUACCUCAGUAUCUUUAUCAACCGUGUUUUUGAUAGCACUGAGGAUUGUUGUACCUGUAAAUCACAUAGGCCUUGUUAAUAUUGUACUUUUAUCAAACUAUACAAAAGGGAAAGAUGUUUUCAGGAAUCUAUAAUAUACCUUUGGUGACAUUAUUUCCAGUAACUCCUUGCCAUUCGAUGGUCCAACCACCACAUUGAUAUCCUAGAUUAUCAGCAUGGCUUCCAGCAACUAGUACCUUUGAAGCCCUUUUAGGAAGAGGGAGAACUGGUUGUUUAGGGUUUUCACCAUUCUUCAAUAAAACCAAGGAUUUCCUCACAGCUUCCCGAGCCAAUUCUCUAUGUUUCUAUCAAGGUACAUUGUCAAAUCGAUUUUAUCAACAUAUAUGCAAAAACAUAGUUGGUGGGUAAACAAUAUACAGAUGUUUCACUACUAACAAACCUUCCUCCCAAGAUGGUGAACUAGGUUAUAAUCAGCCAACGGAUUCUCAAAAAGGCCUGCAACAAACUUUACCCUUAAAAUUCUCCUUACUGCAUCAUUAAUUCGGCUCAUUGGUAUGGCAUUACUUUUCACCAAUAAGGUUAAGCCAUCUAUGAAUUCUGUGUAAUUAAAGGGAACCAUUACCUAUAACAUUACCAAAGCAAGUCUUAGAAGAUGAUACAAGGUAAAUGAAAAACCAUUCAAGUUUGUACUUUAAACUCAUACUUUACCAUGUCAAUUCCAGCAGUGAUUGCAGCAUAAAUGGAAUAUGUGUAGUUAGCAUGAGGAGGUGUAGUGAUCUUAUCAAUCCCCUUCCAAUCUGAUAUGACAAAACCCUAGAAAAAACCAACAAAAUUUAGGGCUCGUUUACUAUGUCAAUUUGCUAUUUUGAAUUAAAUGAAGCCUUGAGAAGUUGAGUGUUACCCUAAAGCGUAAUGAGUUUUUGAGAAAGUCUGUGAUUAGAUUACGAUUGGCAUGCAUCUUUUCUCCAUUCCAGCUUGAAUAAGAGACCAUGACAGUGGAAACACCCUUGAUGAUUGCAUUAUAAUAGGCUGGCAUGUGAAUGCUAAGCAAUCCAUGUCUGCUUAUCACUGUGUUGUUCUCAUUGAUUCCCUUUAUAGUUCCUCCAUCCCCAACAUAAUGCUUUGCAGAGGCUAUAACUUUUCGCCUAUGCAAACAAAUGACAGUAUAUGUUAAUACCAACACCUAGAAAAGCUUAUCACAGAGAGAAACAAAGGGGAUAAUGAAGUUCUUACUUUCCAGCAACAUAUGGAACACCCUUUUGGGAGUUUGCUGGGAUAUCACCUUGUAGACCUGGAAUGAUCUCAGUCAUAGCUUGAACUACUUUAUGGUCUUCACUAUAACUUUCAUAACAUCUUCCCCACCUGGGAUCUCUACAAACCUAUACCUCAUAUCAUAUUAAGAUAAGGUUAUAAUUGAGGCCAAAUGAAUAUUAUCAUUAGAUGUUGAUGAUAAAAUUAUUUAGUAGAAUGUUCUUAGUUACCGCUAUGCAAGGUGCAAAAACAUAUUGAAUUCCAGUAGCUCUAACUUCCAGAGCAGUUGCUGCUCCAAUUCUCCUCACUAGUUUAGGAUCUCUGUUUAUUUAUAAAUAAACUUCAUCAAGAUACAUAAGUAUAGUAUUAAUUUUUGAAUAACACUAGUAACUAUUCUCUCUCACACUUUUAUAGUAAGAUAAUUUAUUUGCUUCCAAAAAUUUAGGAAAAUGAUAUUUUUUAACACCAUUUUGACACCAUUUUGACACUGUACACAUGUCAAAAUGUGGUUGGACGAUUUCAAAUUAAAAAAAGUUGAGGAAAGAACAUAUUUGGAAGAGAAAAACUAAUUUUUUUUUUUUUUAAUUUGAAAUCAUCCAACUAUAUUUUAACGCGUAUGUAGUGUCAAAAUGGUAUCAAAAUAUAUUUUUGAAAAAUUUAUAACCAAAAAAGUAUAAAUAGUAGACAACUAUUGUACGGUUGAAAGUUUUGUUUUGAAAGAAAUGUGUCUCAAUACUUAGAAAAAAUUUGGAUAAAAAGAAUAUGCGGUGGAUAAAAGAAAUAGAAAAAAUAUUUUAAGUGUUAACAUGUGAUAUAAUUAUAAUUUACAAAAAAUAUUUACAAAUCAAAUAGAAAAUAUUUACAAAAAUUAUAAAAUUUACAAAUCAAAUAGAUUAACUCUAUUUAAUUUGCAAAUAGAUAUUUUUCUAAAAAAGUCUUCGUUUUAAUUAAGAGCUGCUUUUACUAACCUAUAGAUAUUUUUUUACACUUACCUAGAUGCAAAGAAAGAACUUUGAAUUUGACAAAAAGUAUGAAUGCAUAAGAUAGAGAUAGUUUACCUGGUAGCACCUAACCCAACAUUGUGAGGAAAAAUUGUUGCAUUAUAUACAUUAUUAUUGCCAUGAACAGCAUCUAUCCCAUAUAUCAUAGGAAUUCCCAAUCUAGUUGAUAAAGAACCUUUUUGAAAAUCAUUCACCAUUUUUAUCCAAUCCUCUGCAGAAGCUUGUGGCUUUGGAACACUGCUUCCCCCACUUAGCACACUCCCUACCAAAACCACAAACCAUAUAACAAAAUAAUUAAAUCAAAAUACCCAACAAAUAAUACAUAUGGUUAAGAUAAACUUUAACUUGACUUUAAUUCAAUCUCCAUAAACUAACGUGUAAGGUAAGAUUUACAUAAUAAUUUUUUCAUUCAAAAAGUUGAGCUUACCAAUAUAAUAGUUGUUCAUGAUUUCUGCAGAAGCAACUUUACGUUCAAUCUGUGUCAUCUGACCAAUUUUCUCCUCUAAAGUCAUUCUGUCCAUGAGAUCCUUGAUUCGAACAUUCAGAGGUUGUUUUGGAUCUUUAUAUUUCAAAUACUUUGCUUCAUUUGUGGCAACACAACAAUGCAAGAGCAUAAGUAGCCCCAUCAGAAAGAUUCUGACUUUCGCCAUUCUUUUUUCUUCUUCUCAGUGCAACUUCACACCCAGAGAGAUUAGAACUAGGUUGAGGUCAGUGUUACAAUCAUGAAAACGCAAACAGAAAGAAAUCAAUCCCAAUGGAAAGUUGUAGAUAUGAAGAACACAAACAAAACAAAAGCAAAAUACAAUCUAACUGUAAAGGAAAGUGAAAAGACAAACAUAGAAGAAGAAGAAAACCUUGUUCUUAGUGUGCAACUUUGUGUGAAUAUCUAGAGAGAAACUAAGGUAAUACUGCUCUUGUUUUGUAACUUCUUCAGUCUUCCUUAAGGUAACAUUAAUUAGAAAACAAAACAUUAUAGAGAUAAAAUAAGUAUAAGAUCUUACCUUUUUUUUAACUUUAGUUUUUCAAUUCCACAUUUCUAUUUUUUAUUAAAUUAGAGUAAUUUUACUACAUAUAUCGGUUUAAUUCUCACCCUUUUUAAUAAUUUGAUUUACUUUUUAUAUUUUUUAAAAUUACGUAUUUGUGUGAGUUUCCGCUUGUAACUACCACUAAAAGUUCAAGAGCAUAGACGACUCUAUAUGUUCUCUUCUCCUUUUCUUCACAACAAUAAAAAAAUAUAUGCAAUUAAAAUUAAUUAUUAUAUUACUUAUUAUAAUGAAGAAAUGGUUAUUAAAUUUAUACUGAAAUUAUAAAAAAAAACAUGUUCAUGAAAAAUUAUAUUUUGUUAAUUUCAUAAUAUAUAAUAAGAAUAGUUGUAAAUUUUUAAUACGGUAGUUCUUUUUAAAAAUAAAAUUCUCUAUUAAUAAGGAUAUAAAUGAUAAAAUAAUAUGUAAAGAAAUAAUUAUAAAACAAAAUAUAUAAUAUACAGUUAUAUAGAUCGUAUAUUGGAUGUUAGUCAUAUUAUACUUUACUACUAUGCUAUACUAUACUAUUAUAUAUGCUAUGCUAUACUAUACUAUACUAUACUAUACUAUUCUAUACUAUGCUAUACUAUAUGUUAGUAUGUGUUUGAUUAUAGUGUGGGGAAAUGGAUAACAAACUCCUCAAUUUUUUUUUUUAAUAAAACCUCCACCACAAUUACACAAUCAAAACUCAGCAUCAAGCUAUUAUAACUUGGAGAAAAAUAAAAUAAAAUAUAUAUAUAUAUAUAUAAAUAGAGAGAGAAAGAGAGAGAGGUAUAUAACUCUCACUAUCAGUAGUUUUUAAUGCAAUAUUUAUAUUAUUAAUUGUUUUUAGUUAAACAAAUCUAUCUAAUGUUUCUCAUAUAUCCAUUCUCUUUUAAAACAAAAUGAUAUAAAGUUUUAAAAUCAAAUAUCACGAGACGAAAAUUAUUAUAUAACGUUUAUUUUGGUUAAAUAUUCUUAAGUAUCUUUAUUUUAAUUUAAUUUUUGGAAUUUAAUUAAGUUUGCUCUAAUUCUAUUUCAGGAUGUUGUAUUAAUUUGUAAGGAAUCUAAUUCCAAAAAUCUGAUAAGAUGCAGUUGCCUUUAUAACACUCCGUAUUAAUAGAAUUUAUUUACUAAUUAUUGGUAUAUUAAGUAUAAAAACUACAUAAGCAUGUUUCAUGAAAAUUUUCAAAAUCAUUAUAUUUAAACGAAAGUAAUAACAUAAGUAUUUUUUAUUAUCUAUACCUGCCUAUUUCAUUAUUGAUAUCUCUCACUUAUAAUAUUUUUUGUUCAUAUAUAAUAUAUAAUCAUGGUAAAUAAAUAAAAUCAUAAUAGACAAAAAAAAACAAGGAUAAGUUACAAUUAGUUAAGAUUAUACUAAUAGUUAUAUAUUAUAGUCCUAAUAAAAUAUAUAUAUAAUUAUAUUCACACAUCAACUUCAUAAUACAAAUAAAGAAAUAUUACAAUCAUAAAGGCAUUUGUGGAACUUCCAUACUCACCAUACAUAACCUCUUAAUGACUUAAUGUAUUGAUUAGAAUCUCGAACCUGCACAUGUUAUAGUCACCCUCACCUUUCAAGGGCUUCAUCAUUUCAUGGCCACAUCUCACACCAUGGAGUAUAACAAGGUAAAUCACCUCAUUUUUAGAUUUAACCCUCAAUGUUAAAUCUACUCAUGACAACCUCCUUCAAAUUUCAUCCUAAGUAUCUUCCUCUACAUGUCCAAUACUUAUGAGUUAGGAUAGUCUCACUUCAAACUUUGACAUUAAUGCAAUCCACAUAUAAUCCAAAUUCUAAUAUUCCCACUCUAGGAAUCACUACUCUCUCAUUCCACAUUAUUCAUAUAAAACCAAAGUAAAAUACAACUACUUCAAAGUACAAACACAAUUCACACAUAGUUCAUACAUCACAUUCUCAUACGAUCUUAAAUAAUCACACCAUGUCAUACAUACGCAAUUUUAACCCAACCUAAACUCUUCACAUAGCAUAAAAUCACUUAUUAUUUAUUUUAAUUGAAAUGUUAAUAAUUCAUUAUUUAUUUUCUAUUGCAUUAGCAUAAUAUUCAAAUACAACAUUACUAAUAAUCAUAUAAAAAAAAUUAUAACCACAGACCUCUAAUCAAAGCUCUCAAUAGUCAAAGUGAAGAUUGAUAUAUCUAGUACCAGUUCUCAAAACUUCAACUUAAUCAAAUGGUUAACCAAACGAAAAUCAAAAUUUUACCAAGAUUAAAAUAAAGCGGUGCUCAACACCCCACACUUGGAGUCUAACGCCAAAUGUGUGUGUGUGUGUGUGUGUGUGUGUAUAUACAUAUAUAUAUAUAUAUAUAUAUAUAUAUAUAUAUAUGUAUAUAAUAAAUUGGUCUUAUCUCUAGUCGAUGUGGGACUUUCAACACACCUCAUUCACACCGAGGUAUAGACAUCUCAUGCGUGAUAGUACAAAUUAGGUGGUCCAAUAGUGGCCCGACAACGGGUGGAAUAGAAAUGCCCAAGAAACAAGAAAUAUCGCUAGGAUAGGCUUUAAACCAUGGCUCUGAUACCAUAUUAGAAAGUGAGUCUAAGCCUAACUCAACCCCACAAAACUAGCUUGUAAGGUAAGGUUUACACCUCACUUAUAUAUUAUAAAUUGGUCUUAUCUCUAGUCGAUGUGGGACUUCCAACAACUCAUUGUAGACUUUGCAAAUAAAGUUGAUUGAGUAUCUUGGGAACCAUUUUUUUUUACAAUAUCCAGUAGUACACAUAUUGAUGUCAUAUUUAGGUUUCAUAUUACCUAUGCCUAAUUGUCAUUUUAACUAUAAUGUCAAUUUUUUUAAAAUGAUUUAAAAUGACAUCAAAUUUCUAUGAAAUAGACAACUCAAUUACAAAUCAUAAGACAACAACAUAUUAGAAACCCUCAAUCUCGUCUACCCAACAAGAAUUUCACUAAGUGAGAAAUCAUGACUAUAUCUCAGGAUGCAAUCACAAUGUUCACUAUCAAAACUUACAUGUAUAACCCAAUCAAACUUUUCAUCAAUGUUCGUCAAAAGAUAUUUAAAUGAAAAUGCUACAUUAUGUUGCAGUCUUAAGACAAUGUUUAAAUUAUAGAACGCACGCUCAAUCCUGCUUAUAACUAAACAGACAAUUAAGUAGAACUAAGAACUUUUACAUAUAUGUUAGAAUUAAUUAACGAGUAAAAAAGUGCAUAUUUUAUAUUGUAUUAUCCAAAUACAUAACCUUGUAUGCCCAUGACUUAACAAAAUUUCCCUUGUGUAGAAUGAUCUAUACAUUACUCACAUAUUCAAAAAAUAGUGAUCAUGGUAUGCAAACAACUUCAAAAUGUUUUAGACACCUAGCAAAUGAAUAACAAUUUUCACAAUCUAUCACAGUUCUCCAUGCAUUCGUAAUAAGUUUUCAUGCCUUCACAAAAUCAACUAAAAUUUUACACUUUGCUUUAACGUUCUUAUUAACGUGGAAUUGACACAAAUAGUUCAAAAGCUCCAGAAAAGACAAUAUUGAUUAAAGUCUUUGUCUUUAUAACAAUAAUUUUAGGGAGCACAUCUAAUUUAGAAAACAACCCUCUAAGUCUUUCUAGAAUCCAUAUAAACUUGGUUUCUCAUUCACUUCCUAUAUAACAUCACGAAACCAAUAAAGAAAGUUAAUUUGUUGACAUCACAUAUCUUCUCUCAAGCAAUGCAACUUAUCUUUGUUGGUUUUAUAAUUGUUGUCCAUCAAUAAUACAAAGCUAAAUGUAUUGAACAAUUUAAAUGAAUCGAACAAUUUAAAUGAAUCGUGAUGUUUCCAAAAGUGUCGCUUAUAAUUUGUGCAAACUCAUUACACCUACUUUAUUAAUUAUACUUGUCAUGUUCUAGCAACAUGUUGCAUUUCAGUUUUAGACCCUCUUAGUGAUAUCUUGUAUGCAUAUCUUUCAUUGAACAAUUACUUUACUAUUGUGACAUUGUCCUUAUUAUUUGUUUUAAAGUAAUAUAUUUGUCGACUUCACUAGAAUUUUUGUCAUGUCAACAACCAUGGAAUGCCCAUAGCAACUUAUGAGUGACUAAUAAAUGUCUUAGUCAAUUCAUAACCCAAAAGUAUAAUCACAUUUUUUUUACCAAUUAUAAUUGUCUCCAAAUCAUGUUUGUAUUUUUUAUGCUUAUCACCUUUAACAACUGAACAAGAUAUAUAUCUUUAUUUUCUAUUAUUCAUUAAUUUUAUCAAACCUCAAUAUCAUAAUCAUAAAAUCAAGUUCAAAUAUCACCCUAUACAGCUACUGAAAUAAGUCAUCAUAUAUACCAAAUACUUUUACAAAUAAAUCACAACAUAGUUACAUCAAAUGUCAGAUUUAUUAUAAAAUUCAAUAAAACAUAUAUAUGCUCAAUCUAUUAUAAAAGAUGUAACAUAAUCUCCUCUAACUACUUCAUUCAUUAUUUCAAAUCCUUAUAUAUCUAAUAAUUUAUCUACUUUAUUAAAAAUUAUGAUCUAAUAUUGAGAUUUCAUCUUUAAAUUCAACCAUGCAUCACCUUAUAAAAAAAGAAAUAAAAUGUUUGUAAAGUUUUAAAAAACUAAAUUUUGUAUCUCUAGAAUACAAUGUACAUUUUAGAAUAUAAAAUUUUAUAUUUUACAUAAUAUUCCAAAAUGAAAAUUUUCUGAAAUACAAAAUUUAUAUUUAAAAUGCACAAUUUGAAAUGUGUGAAAAAAAAAUAUAUAUAAGUCUCCAUAAUGCACAAUCCGAAAGUUAAACAAAAGGAAAACCAUAAACUCACCUAUGGAACGCUGCCACUUCCCAAGAAGACCACCUUUAAUCACCACCACUAAACUCUACCAACCACCAAUAAUCACUACUAAUAAAUCACAUUAACAACACUUUAACACUCCCACUUCUUAUAACUUUUACCAUAAGGCUAAUUUAGUAAUUUUGAUAGUUUCAAACUUACAACAGUUCAUGUAGAAAGCAAGAUGGUGCAGGAAGCAAUUGCCUAGAUACAAUUACCAAAAAUAAUAUAUAUAUAUAUAUAUAUAUAUAUAUAUAUAUAUAUAUAUAUAUAUAUAUAUAUAUAAAAUAUACACACACUUUGGGCCUUCUAUACGGUCCUCCUCUUUAACCAAUCUAGCCCAAGAGUUAACAAUUAUAUGAAGAUUAUUUUUUUCCAUGUUUAUUUUUUUAUCUCGGCAAAUGUUAAAAUUCCUAUGUUAUUCUUGUUGUACAUAAAUUUUCGCACCUUUACAUUUAUCUGGUGGAAGAUAGGAAGAGUAGAGAGAAGAAAUACAGUUAGAGAUGUGCAAGAAUAAUUUUGUCUUUUUACAUACUCCUACGGGGUGCAAAAAGAAAUCCAGUUGUAGGAAAAAGCACUCUCCUUCCUCCAAACGGUGAUGUUGAUAACAGAUAAACUUUGUUUCAGUGAUCAUUAUCCACAUCACUUCACAUCAACCAUGGCUGCCUCAUCCACCAUCAACAACUUCCUCUCUUUCUUCUUACCCACAAAACCUCCGCCACCCUCUACACCGCCGCCGAUCCAAUUCAACCCCACCACUUCUUCUUCCACUCACAAACCCUCACAACUCCUAAUUGCGCAAUAUGACCCUUCUUCUUCUUCUACUUCUUCUUCUUCUUCUUCUUCUUCUUCUUCUUCUUGCUCUGAAUUGUCCUCUGUGAUAUGCCCCUCCAUGGCGUACACGAACACGCUCUUCUUCCAGUCAGCGUACAACGUGCAGGUGGUGGUGGCCGAGGACGAGCCCGAGGAGCGCCUCCUCAACAGGUUCCGCAGAGAGGUGUUGAAGGCCGGUGUCAUUCAGGAGUGUAGGCGGAGGAGGUACUUCGAGAACAAACAGGAAGAGAAAAAACGCAAGUCGCGUGAGGCUGCCAAACGUAACCGCAAAAGGUAGUCCCUUCCUUUUUUUCAUGUCAUUGCUGCAAUGUUAUGCAAGAAGUGCUUGGUAGAUUAGAAACACAAAAAUAAAAUUUGAUUUCUCCAAAUUAGUUUGUGCAUGAGUUAUUCGAGUUAUGUCAUUUGUCUUGGAAGAGAGGGAAUAAACCUUGAAAGGAUUUGCUACAAAAUUCACCCCAUAAAAGGCUCCCCAAAUGUUAAUAUAGGCCAUUCUGUGGAUUUGGACACCAUCAAUAUAGUGGAGACUUAUAGCUACAUUGAAGUGUGACAUAUGGAAGUACAUAUCUAUUCACUAGUCUAUUUUUUUUUUUUUUUUUUUAUGAUUGUAUCUAAAAUGAACAGAACUUGUAGUAUUAGUGUGUAUAUACAUCGAAGUGUAGAUUUUGUGAGAAGAGGAAGAGUUCUAUGAAAUUUCCCCACUAGAUACUUUAAGUCAGGCAAUGAAGGUUACGUGAAUGUCAUGUGCAAUAGGGAGGUUUCUGCCUGAGGGCCAUUAUAGUGAUUUCAAACGAAACUAAGUUUAUCUAAAUUUUGCAAUGUAGAGCAUAACCUAAGAAACUGACAUUAUUAAAGUGCAGAAAACUAAAGUGCAAUGAAUUAAAGGGCAAGAACAUUAAAGAACAAGAAAAUUAAAUUGCAAGAACAUUAAAGUAAUUGCAAAAAAUAUAAACAAAUCAACUUCAAAUUCAAGAACAAAACAAAACAGACUGAAAAUCUUUUGAUGUUGAUUUGAUCUUGAUUCUGUAAGUUGAUCUUCAGAGAAUUGUAAAAAACCUAAAGAAAGAGGAGAGAAAAGAAAAAAACUAAAAACUCUUAAACUUUGCAAUUGAUUUCUCUGUGUAGCUUUUAGCACAUUAGAGGUCUUAUAUGGCCUCUGAAAUCUGAAGCUAAAGUGGGCCUAAUCUGAGCUCUAAUUAAGCUCUUAACCCCAACUACAAAAGGUCACCCAAUACAAAGAAAUACCUAAUCCAGGUUUUGUUUACAAUUUUUCAGCAAAUUUGUCCCAGCUUUUAAAAAGUGGAAAUGAGCUAAAAACAGAAAUAAAGCAUUUCGAAAGUAUAUCACUAUACAAUAAAGUUAUAAAAGGUGUGUACAACAUAAGUAUUAUCAGCCGUGUGACCUAUGAAAUUAAGUCUAGAAAAUAGUGUACUUCUUCACACAGGUUAUUCAUUUAUCUUUCUUAUGUACCAAUUGAGAUGAUAGUCUAAUGCACAAGACAGCCCUCUUUCUUUUCCUGAAGUGUCAUAUCCAUUCAUACACCAUUGAGAGAAUGAUGCUUGUUCCCUUUCAAUGUUAUGGAGCUUUUUACUGUCCAAUGUUGUCUGCGGUUGGUUGAAUGGUGUAAAUUUCUUUUGCUUAUUUGCUAUUUGCUGGCCUCUAGAAUGGAAUGGCUCACAAAUUUUAUUUUUGUGGUUAGAUAUAUCCAUUAGCAAAUAUUAGUUUAAUUUUGAUACUUUUUCUGGCUGACAACAUUUCAGGCGCCCCAUGUCAAAAACUGCUGUACAGAAAAAACUGGAUGUCCCAGCAACCAAGAGAGAAGAUGAGGAUAACUGGGAUCUACCUGAUGGAGAUACUCUGUAUUAAUGCUUUCAUCCCCGAAGUUCUGUAGCUUUCUUUGAUUUCACUGCAUGUAAGUUUUGUUGAGUAGAAUGUGCUCUUGGGUGGAUUUUCUAUGGCGUUGAAUUUAAUAUUAUGUAACUUUGUGCAUCCUUAUUCAGUUCACUGUUUGGCAAUUUGGGAAGACAAAAAAUAGUUUUAAAAAUUACGAAGUUGCUGGUAAUAACUUUAUAAGAAAAAUAUUAGAAAAGCCUUUUCUAAAGAAUAACAUUUUACUCAAAAUAUUAGAAAAACCUUUUCUAAAGUUCAUUACGCACAUGGAUGUAUUUCUAUUAUAUGACUUAACCUUGUGUAUGUAUAAUUUCUAAAACACUCAAAUACAUUAAUUUAAAUUUAUUUUAUUUUAAAUUAUUUUAUUUGGAUAAGACAAUUCAAAUUUAGUAAAUUUAAGUUUUAUAUGUAUAAAAUAUUUUAAUUAAUAUCAAAUUAAAAUAUUUGAUUUAAAUGUCAAAUAAUUGUUAAAAAAUCAAAAAAUUAAAUAUUCAUAAUCUUUUUGUCAUUCAAUGCCCACAGUAAUUGUUUUAUUUGAGUACAGUUAUAUAGGUUGAUAUUAAUCAAGGUUAUUUCAUGAUGUUGACACUUGAGAGGGUUUUUUGCCAAUUUUUUUUAUUGACGUCUGAUUAUAAAUUUUCCUAAUAAACAUUGGUAAACACUAGAAAAUAAAUCUAAGAAAAUUAUUGACAAAAUAACAUUCCUAUUGAUGAUAAAAAUAAAUAAAAAUAUUGGAGACAUCGACAACAAUAAAAAAAAUCUCAAGUGACGUUUAUUGAAAAAAAAAAUCUAAUUUACAUUUAUAAAAGAAAAGUCUUCCUGAGAUGUUGAGAAAAACUUUAAUUAAUAUUGAGCAAGGAAUAACACGUACAAUAAAAUAAAAAUCUAACAACUUAAAUUACAAAAAAAAAAAAGAAAAAAGAAAAAACUCCUAUUAACAUCAAUAAAAAUAUUAUAGUCGAUAUCAAUUAAAAUAUAGCCAUAUUGACAAUGUCCCAGUCUUAUUUAAGUUGAUGACACUCUGUCUAAAAUUGAUAUAAGAUCUCAAUCUUAUUAUGUUCAUGACACUCUGGCUAAAAUUGAUAAAAGAAGAAACUAUAAAAAACAAAACAAAAAUUUGAUUGAUAUAAGAAGAAACUUUAUAAAGCAAAACAUAAAUUUGAGAAAGCGAAGGUUUUCAAAUUUUUACCUUUUAGAUGGAAUUUGAAAUCCCUAUCUAAAUUUAAGAAUUCAUUUGCUCAAAUUAUAUUUUUAAUUUCUUUCACAAUUUCUUACUCAAACAUUUAAUUUCUUUUACAAUUUCUUACUUAAACUCUAUAUUUUAUCGUAAAACAUUUAAUAUUCUUUACAAAAAAAAUAACUCGUGAAAAUAAGAAAAUAACACAGGAACGGAUGAUUGAAUUAUGUUUUAAAAUUUUCAUAAUUUUUGCUUGUAUCGUUUAUGGAAACAAUAUUGGAUGACACGAAGAUGUACUUAAAUAGUGUAUAAAAUGAUUUUGUUAAGUUUAGUUUUAAAAUUUUUCUUCAAUACUGAAUAUUUUUACAUUGGUUCAUUUGAACAUAUAAAUUAUGUUCAAUUAUUGACCAUAAUUAAUCUUUCCCAAAUCAUUUUUGUUCAAAAAAGUAUUCUUUCAAAGCCACUCCUAAUUAAUACGAGUAUUUUUUUAGUUUUUAAAAACUCCUAGCUGACCCAUUCAAAUAUUCUUUUUAAGUUAUUUUUGUCUCAAUAGAACAUAUUUUAUACAUACAUUUAUAGUUUUUUAAUACAACACUUGUCAUUUGCUUUAUUUAAAUUUUUUUAGUUUAUUUUCUUGCAUUAGUAAUAAAUUAGGUUAUCAUGCAUAUGAUUUCUUUAAUUUUAUAUUUUUAGCUAAUUUGACCUUUAUUUGUAGAUAUCACUUUUAGCUUAUUCUAGUAGCAUUAAGUUCUACACUUCUAAGGCUUCAAAUGGAUUUGGAUCCUAUGUUACUUUUUUCAAUUUUUGUAAGUUAAGGCAGAUUUUCUGAAAAUUGUAAAGAGAACCCUAUGGAUUUGAUCUUUGCUUCUUUUAUUUUACAUGUUUUUAACUUUUAGACCUAAUUAGAGCUCAAAUUAGGAAAUUAGGUCAAAUGCUUCCGUUUUCAAAGCCUAAAUAAAGCCUAAUUAUGCUUAAAACAAGACUCAUAAAACUCAUUGGCUUAGUUUUUGGAAAUUUAGAAUUCCUUCUUUUCUCUCAUUUUUUUCUUGAUUUUUAUUCUCCUUUUCACUACAUUGUUUUCUUCCCUAAUGGAUAACUAAAUAUAUGAAGAUGAAUUUACAGAAUUAAUAUCAAAUAAACUAAAUUGAGUUUUGAUUCGAUCCUUCUUUACUCCCAUUUUGUUCUUCUCUAAUUGAAUUUUGGUUUUUCUUUGUGAUAUCAAAUUGAAUUUCUGAUUUUAGAAUCAAAUUAGAAUCAAUUGAAUCUUAAUUUGAUAGUUAAGUACACAUUGGAUUGAAUAAUAUUAAAAUUUAAAUCAUAUAAAUAAGUUUAGUCGAAUGAACUCCAAAUGAUCUGAAAAUUUGUUGGAAGGAUAAAAAAAUUAUGAAAACCCUUCAAAAAAAUUUCAACUCAAAAUUCAAAGUCUAACUAUUUUAAAUACUUUUGCAAAAUUUGAAAAAAAAAAAAAAAUAAAUUAACAAAAAAUAGAAAAUGACCUUUUUUUUUGGAAAAUGUAGGAUUAGCUAUGUCGGCUACCAUGAUAUCGAGAAUUUUUUUUGUAUCCUAAAUCGAUGUAUGAUAUUGCCAAAAACUGCCAAUUGGAUCAAAAGUUAGAGUUAUUUAAAGAUCUGCAAUCCAAAUAAUUUUUAAACUUCUUAUUCACCCAAAAUAAGGAUCCUCAGAUUAUUUUCCCUGAAAUAGGAGUUCCUAGGAGUGGUUAAAAAAAUUUUCAAUAAAAAAUAAUAACUAUAGCUAUCAAAACAAAAAAAUUAUAAGUAAAUAGUUAAUACUGGAUAUAUGUAUUUUUGUGUUGUGGAUACUCGUUUUUAUAUAUAGGUUUGUUUUUGUUUCUGUGAUAUGGAAUGCUUAUAGAAAUAGAACAAUCAAUUUUUUAAAAACAAGACAGACUUUAAAAAAAGGUUGUGAUAAAAAUGAGGCAGAAAAUGGUAUAUUGUCUCGGUUCUGGUUCCAACAGAGACAAUAGACCUUUUAAAUUAAUUAAUUUUAAGAGUAUAUGGCAACAGUUUCUCAAAUAACAUAGGUCAUAAACCCAAUUUUUUUCUUUUUUUGGUUUACUGUUUCGAUUUUUUUAAACCACGGAAAAAUCAUGACCUUUUUUGCUUCAGUUAUUUUGAAUCAAGGUCAAAAACCAUUGUCAUAACCUCAAAAUAACCUUUGUCAUAUCAAUUCAUUGCACUAGUGUAGGUUGGAACAUCACUCAAUGAUGGAUCCCUGUUCUCCUCUUUGCAACAAAAUCUUCAAGGGGAAUUGGAAAAUUAUUAAACUCUCCAAGCUUCUAAAAUGAAAAAUGUUGCUUUUCCAAGGAUCUUUAAAGAACUAGAUGAAGAUUAUUCCUACAUACCUUAUGUACAAGAAUAAAGCAUUUAAGCAUAACUCAUAAUUUUCCAUAGGUUCUUCUCCUUGAUCAUUUUGUUUGGAAUCACUUGAUCGAAGUACCUACAAAAUUUUCCAUCAUAACUCAUAAUUUUGUAGCAAAAUGCUUCUUCUCCUUAUUAUGAGAAUUCCUUCCAUGCUUCAAGUUCUUCUUCUAUGCUCUUCUUAUGUUAUAGAUGCAAGACUCAAUUAGAGGUCCGAUUAGAGGCCCAAUUAAGAUUUAACACUAACCCAGUUAUAACUUUAAAAAAUCUUAAAAAUUACAAAGACAUUAGAAACUAUACAAUUCUACAAGACUAAAAUUUUUUCUUAGUGUUCUAUUCAACAUAGAAGCGUCUUGAUGAGUGAAUAUUCAUCUUUUUCUAUCAUUUUAGCAGCCAUGGGUUUUGUGUUGGAUAGUUUCCAUUACUUAAACUGCUUCUCCAAAUAGUACUAGUGCCAAUAGUCUCAAUAGAAACUAAGACACUAUGCUUAAUGAUUCAGAAAUCUUAUUAAAAUUUUAGUGGAUGAAUCUUCAGACUAAUUUUCUAGUAAAUGGACUAUCAAACAACAGAAAAUUCUGGUCAGUAUUAGAAGAAGGUGCAUGUUACCACUAGAUCAUCCAUAAAAUAAACAAUGAUUUGUGAGCCAAUAUCAGCAUGAUUCAUAGUUUAAAGAGAUAAUCUAGUUGUUAAUUUAUUGGCGGCUUAGUGCUAACAAUGAAGUAUUUUACUUAUAUCAUAACUGAAUUAUACGUUGGAUUUAUUCAGAGAUUUACUAGAAAGAUACAAACACUAACGAGGAAUUGACAUCACUUUCUAUACAAAACUUUAAAACAAAGAAUUAAUAGAUCUUUCACCUUUAUAUAAUGUUCUAUUUUCUUAUUUUUAUCUAAAAUGAGACCUAAACUUACAUUUGGAUUCCUAACACUAUAUUUCAAUACACUUAGAAAAUUCCCAGAACUGUUCAUAAUAGGCUGUAACACUGUAGUGUGGUUCAAAUGUUUUGGUGCGAACAAGUCUUAGCCAGAUAGGACUUAAUUGUCUGAAUUUUGUACCUUAGAUCUGAACCAAGCACCAAAAGCCUGAAUUCAUGGCACAAUUCAUGAUAACUCCAAAACGCAACACAUGAUCCAACACCACAACAUUUGGACGCGAAGAAUAGACAAAACUUGAGUUGUCGCUAUUUGUGGUUAUUGUUUGAGGUGGCAAGUCUAUGGUUUUGGAUCAUGUUUGGUUGAAUAAAGUAUUUGUAAUUUAUGUCAAAUAUAUAUCCAAACAAAACAGCCUUUGAAGAAGUGAAGAGCCAACAUAGUUUUGCAUCCUUGAUCUUAACAUUUCUUCCAUCUCAGCAACACUGUUCACCUUACACAUGUCUUCUCUGAGUUAUUUUUAUAUGGCCCAGCACUGUCUUACAGAUAGCAUAAUUAAUGCAUAUAUGAAUAUUAUAAGGUGAAUGAAUCAAAAUGGAAAUGGAGUUGGUUCAUCCCUUUUAUGGAACCAAAGAACCAAUCAUAAAUUCUUUGUUUAUAUUAGAAAAUGAUUCUACAACCAUGAUGCGGAUUGUUUGAUGUUCUAAUUGAAAGUGUAUUUAAUUCAGUUUGUUUUAUAAAAUAUAAUUUGUUUUUAAAUAUAAUUAUUGUCAAAUGAAAGUUUAAGUAAAUCAUAAUCAACAUAUUACCUCCUUUCCUGAGAUGAUUUAUAUAUAUAUAUAUAUAUAUAUAUAUAUAUAUAUAUAUAUAUAUAUAUAUAUAUAUAUAUAUAUAUAUGUGUGAAAGUGUUAAGGUAUUUGAGUAUUGGUCAAAGAGUCAAAAUAUUUUUAGUUAGUAGUUUAUUAAAUAAUAUUAAUAAACAAUUAGCAUUGGAUAUUAGAACUCUUCGUUUACAAGUUAUAUAGAAUUAUUAAUAGUAAUUUAAUUUCAGAGAUCGUAGGUUAAGUUAUAAAUUUGAUAAUAUUGAAGUGCAUUCAACAUAUAGGUCGUUUUAGAAUACUUAAAAGCAAAGUGUUUUUGUUAACAAAAUAUUGUGAAAUUUGGCAACUUCCAUUAUCUUUUAAAAUAAACAGCUUGACAACUUUGACUUUCUUAUAAUAGAAUUAAAGUGUAAACUAUCAAUAUUGAAACCCAAUUUAAGAAUAAAAAUAGCUAAAUCACCUCAUCAUUUGAAUAAAGUGCACACUAAGAAAUGAAAAAAAAUAUAUCUUAUUUGUAGAGGCCUAAAGGUCUAUAAAUAUAUUAUUUAUUAAAAAAAUUGCGUAAUUAUUUUUUUUACUUUCAUAUUAUUAUCAUUUUAUGCUUGUGAUGGAUAGAACGAUAUAAAUAAUAUUUUAGAAGUAAACAUUCGAAUGUCAUAAUUAUAAUUUAUAUAUCACGUGUCUACAUUCUAAUAAUUUUUAAAGUUCUUUACUAUUUUUUUUUUCUUUUAUGACUUUUAGAAGUUGAGAUACGCUGAAUUCUUUUAAAUAACCCUUGGAGAUUCAUUUUUGUUUGGUUUAACUUAAACAUUUGUAAUUGGACUUAAGAACCUAAUUAGAAUGCUCUUAGAAUCAUGCUUACUUCAAAUUUCAUAGCCAAUACAUGACAUAAAUGUGUUCUAAACUCUUGUACAUAGCUUGAGUUUUUAGUUUUAGAAAUUAACUAUAUCUCAUUUUCAAUAUUUUCUCUCAACUUUUUUUUACUGCUCCUCUUCUUUUCUCAUCGACAUUUUCUGUUCUUCGUCAAAAGAGAAUUAAUCUUUAAAGAUCAAUUCACAAAAUUAAGAUCAAUUAAUUCGAAUUUAGUUUUUGUUCUAAUCAUUGAACACUUUGAGUUUGUUUUCCUCUUUGAUUAUAAAUUGUAAAUUUGGUUUUAGAAAUCUUGAUUUGAUAAUUAGAUAUACAUUAUAUUAAAUUAUACUUUGAUUUGAUUUGUAUCACUGAUUUAACUGAAUAAUUAAAUUGGCCAAUUGUUCAAAUUUGAAUUUUUCAUCUUAACUUUAGUCAUUUUUAGGUUAAAGUUUCAUAAAGAGUUUUAUAAAGCAUAGAUAAUUCACUCAUUAUCAGACACAAUUCUAUAUUUAACUAUCAUAUCCAAAGUUACCAUGAUUUUGAUGAUAAAAAAUAAUAUCAAACUUGUUAGUGUGAAACAACAUAUAAAAUCCAACUAUUUAUAUGGUUUGAUGAAGGUAUUAAAAAAUGCACUUGAUAAAUUAUAAUAAAAGAAAUAGACAAUAUCUUAAGGUGUGUUAGACUAAAAAUUUCAAGACCAAAUGAAUCUCAAGGUGUGUUAGACAUAUGUUAUAAGUCCAAGAUGUUUUUUAUAUAGUAAGAUGGUGUUAAAACAUAAUAUCUCCAAGCACAUUCUGCAAGCAUGUUCAUCUUAUCCCAAGAAGUCUCAUGUUCUCUUAGCCAACUUGGAACCCAUGCGUUAGUUGAUAUAAGUACAUGAGUUAAUUAAUGAUUAGGACACUAAAAAGACAUUGACAAAAAAUUUGAAAGACUUUCAAUAAAGUUCAAUUGUUAGGUAGAGUUUACUAAGGGCAUUCAUAGUCAUUAAUAUUCUACAUUAUCAAAACAUGAAAAAAGGAACAAAAGAUCUUAGUUAAUUCAUAGAUAAAGGCUUAUAUAAAGGAGCUUAAUUGAGCAUUGCAAAUCAACUUCAAUGCAUUUAUUACACAAGUCUUUGAGUUUGUGAAAUAUGGAUUUUUGCUCUUUAACUAGAGAAUUUCUAGUCCUUUCUUGAUAUUAAGUUGGAUACUCUUUCCCUUGUAUUCUCUUGGUGGUAUUGUUUAGCUUAUCCAAAGUGCGAGAACUUGAAGAGAUCAAAUUAACCAUCCUUUCUUUAACUUCAAGAACAAGUUGUACCCUUUUGUAAGUGACUCAUUCUUUUCUUGUUUCCUUUGCUUUUUUAUUUUUGUUCUUCCUUUUUCUUUAUUUGAAGAACAACAUAGCCAUAUCUUAACCAAAGCCAACAUUCACCUGUAAAUCCUACCAAAUCACCACCAUAAAACCUUAGUAUUGUCUCCCCCAAACAUUUCAUGAUCAAAUCCACCUAAAAAAUCCAAUUUUCAACUUAUACACCAUAACAUAUCUUGAGAUAGCUUCAACAAAUUCUACAUGACUCUUAACUUUAAGAUUCUUCGAAUAUAUGUCAUAAUCCUUGCCCAACCUUCCAACCCAUUACCCUUUCAAGAUCACACAAUUUGUAAGCUUUCAGAAUGAAAGGAAGAGUAGAAGCAGAAAAGAGAAGAGAAGAAAAGACAAAAAGAACUUCAUUAGAUUACAUCGCCUAAUGCUCUUUAAUUUAAGAAGAAAUCUCAUGAGUUCACAAAUUGAUUUGUAUCUUCUUAAUCCUCUCUAUGAGAGUUUAUUCAAUUUGUAUUUGUAAUAAAAAAAACCAAGUGUGUUUGUAUUAAAAACACUCAUAUUACUCGUGUACUUGUCGGGUUAGACUAGAGAAAAAGGAGUUGUUGACAAUACUUAGAUCACAGGAAUGACCAUAAUACUCAAACACAAGGGAUAAGUAAACUUGGACUAGUCAAGAUUGACUAGGAGAACCAAUUGGAUUAGUUAGGAUUGACUAGGUGAACCAGGAGUGGUUUAUAAUACUUAGACUAGUCAAGAUUGACUAGGAAAACCAAAACUGGUUUAUAAUACUAAAACUAGUUAGGAUUGACUAGGGGACCAGGAGUGGUAAUAAUACUUGUAAUCAGGAGUAGGUUAGACUCAUUAUAAUAUCUGAUAAGAUUAAUGGAACCCCAUAAGAGUUCUUAAGGGAAAACAAGAUGUAGUUCAGACAGAGUAAACAUGUGUAAAAAUUGUGUUUUAUUGUUUUUCUUCCUUAAAAGCUUUUAGUAAGUUUUCUACAUCAUUGUCUAAAGAGUACCCUUAUUUGAUAAUCCUUUGAAAACUCAUUAUACACUUUUUGUGAAAAGUUAUAGAAAACACUAUAAGAGUCACUCACCUCCCUUCCUUGUCGUUAAAUGCAAUCCAGGUUGCCACUUUCGCUACCACUCCACUAUUCUCCUCCCUUCUUCGUUGUCCAUAUGCAUUGUGUCACAAUAAUUUUUUUUUUUUAAAAUAAGAAUAGACUUCAAUUAAAAAAAAAUCUAAAGUAAACUUAAAGUUUUAUAUUUUUUCCUAAUUGAAUAUGUUUAUCUUAAAUAAUUAAAAUAUAAUUUCCAAAAUAAUAUUAUUAUUAUUUAUUAUUAUUUAUUUUAUAAUCAUACUAAUUUAAGUAUUAAAAAUUUUCAGCAAAGAAACUUCCGUCAAUUAUUCAAUAAUUAUCAUGAGAGUUCAUUAAUCUAUAAUCCAUAACUAGUCGUCAAACUCGUUAUAUCCAGGUAAAAUCAUAUAAGUGAACGUAUAAUUUCUACGAUGGAAAUCUUAUAAUCACGUCUAACAAUAAGAAAGAAUUUUAACUUGGGCGUCCAUUACAGAAAAAAAAAAAAAAACAAUUUGUUGUUUUCAACAUUCUUAAAAAUGAAUGGGACAAAUCACACGGAUAUUACAAAAAGAAUAUAUUCAUUUCCGAAAUUGAAUAAAUAAUAGUUUUUCUUCCAUUUUGUCCACACAAAAGGAAUUAGCAUCUAUUUUCAUUAGCAACCUUUUUCUUUCUGCUCUUAUCUACCUCCUCACGUUUUCUCUCUCUCUCUCUCUAGUUUUCUUUAUCCUUACCCACUACGUUCUCCUACUUCCUUAGCUUUUUUUGACUUUUUCUUCCUCGAGCUUUUCUGCCACCCAAUGAUAAUAUAUAUAUAUAUAUAUAUAUAUAUAUAUAUAUAUAUAUAUAUAUAUAUAUAUAUACACAUCACACACACUAAAAUAAAUUAAAUUAAAUAAAAUUAAAUUAAAUUAGUUGGCUCAUGUAACAUGUUGUCGUAAAUUUGUCUCUUUUUAUUUGUCAUGUAUUCGUCUCUCUACACUAAUUACUCUCACAAAUGAUAAAAGAAACCAUACCAUCACUUACUUUUAAUAUGUACUUUCAAAUGCACAUUUUAUUAUCAAAAUAAAAGAAAAAAAAAUGAUUUAUUGAAUAGAAUGUGAAAGCUACAAAUAUAAUAAUUAUCAAUAAAUUGUAAUAUGUAAUAAAAUGUUUAAAUAUAUGUUUUGUGUGUAAUUAUUUUGCAAUUUUUGUCACUUAAUAACUCUUUUCUUAUUUAUUACGUUAUUAUUAUUUUUUUAAUUUUCACUUUUUGUAUAUGGGUAACAAGUGUUGAUGUGUCUUUAUAACGUGACCGUCGUUUUAUCUCUAACUUUGGCAAAAGAAUACAUUUCUUUCUAAUAAUAUGAUAAUAAAAUAUGUAAAAAUUUAAAACCCGAGAGUUGUGGAAAUGUGUAAAAAGUAAUAAGAAUUGAUAGAAAAAUAUGAAAAACAAAUAAAUAGAAAUAUUACACGAAAAAAAAUGAUAGUUAAGUUUCGAAAUGUAAAAUUGUAGAAUUUACUAAUAGCAUUUUUUCAUUUCGAUAUAACCCAUCCCAUCUAAAACUUUAUUGGUAUAAAAAUAGAGAGACAGAGGAAAGAAAAAAUAUAAAAAAAUAAAUAAUUGCAUAAAAGAGAAAUAUAGAAAAGAAAUAUUGUAAAAAGUAAAAGAAAGAAAAAACAUAAGAACAUGUUUAAUAUUUUUAAUUUGAUUAGUUGAAAAGAAGAUAUUUGAUGGUAGACGAAAACUAUUUUAUAAUAAAUGACAAGUAACGUGGCCAAUUUGACAAUUCUAAACAAAAAGGGGGGUUUUAUUCCUGCACUUCCAAUUUGUCUUACUCCAUCAAAAUUUCUAAAUCCCUUGACUGAUCAUACACGUUGAAGAAGGUUGUACUACCUACCACAAAAAAAAAAGCAUGCAUUGCAUUUACUAUAUAUUAGUGAUAAUAGAAAUUUGUAUUUUUUUUUUGUGAAUUUGUCGAAAUCGUAGUUGAACGUAGGAAACAAAUUUGCAAGGUUACGGAUUCAGAUAUUUAGAAUUGAAUAUUGAAUUUCAAAAUCUCCUAUCAGAUUUGAGUUGAAUAUUAGAUUUUAUAAGGAGUACAUCGAAUUUCAAAAUCUGGUACAUUCCUUAACCAAUAUCAAAAUUCUGCAAAGUUGAAAAAGCUACAACAUUAAUUGGUCUUGAUGUUAAGGAGUUAUCGAGCGGUAGGAGAAUGUUAUUAUGUGAUCACGUUGUUCCCCAAGAAGAUGAAGUGGUUGGAUAUCUUACAUAUCUAACCGAAACUUCUUUACUCAUAUUGUAUAUUUUUCUAAAGGCGGAAACAACAUAGGAAAUGAUAACAUUCAAGGAAUACAAUAUCAAUGACAUUUAUCAAAGUUAAGUUUUUGUCCCUAACAAUGACUUGUGGGUCACUCUCAGAUGUCAUAAAUAAUUCUCUUAGCUUUUCCAUAGUUCAAGUGAAAUUAUUUUAUCAUUCACUUGAUAAAAAUACAAAGACAGCUGAAAAGGUCAACCUUAUACUUUUUUUAUUAGAAAUUGUUUUGUCUCUCAAUUUAAAAGUACAAUCAUAUUUUCUUAUGUCAAAUAUACUAGGUUGAACAUCAUAUUUAUAUUUAUUAUACUUUCUAACCCUUUCAUAUCUUAUUAAUAUACCCGUCUUUUUCUUUAGUUGACCAAUAAUUUUAUUAGAUCUUAUAAUGAUAAUAACAAAACCAAGAUAAAAAACAAUCUCUCGAAUUCACUGAAUUAACUCAUAAUAUACAAGAAAAAUCCAAUCAAUUAUAAAAUUAUUUGUGUAAUUUCCCUCACAUAUUUAAUUUUGAAAUUAGGUCUUCCUCUAAACAAAUUUCAAAAUCAAGUGUUUCUUUAAAUCAUAUUUCGAAAUUCGAUUAUUACUAAAAUUAUUUCCUGACUUUCAAAAUUUGGUAAAUAUUUUUACAAACCAUAUUUUAAAAUGCUAUACAUGAAAAAUAUAAUAAAAAUAAAAGUUAAAUUUCCAUUUUAAAACAAAAGUAUAACCAAGAAAAACCAACAAAAUACAUGUACUUGUUUCAGACGAAAAUGAAUGAAAAAUGAACUAAGUUUGAAACGAGGUCAUUCAAAACGGAAAUAAAAGAAAUAGAAGAAGCAGUUGAAUGUGGUUCAAAGAAGAAUAAAAUUUAAGAAGAGAGAAAACACUAUUACUUCAAAUUAGGAGUUGUAAGGUCUCAAUAAAUAUACAAUUUCGUGUAAUAAAUACAUUUAAUAAAUAAUAAUUACUACUUACCUAAUUAAUUUAACAUUUUAUAUAUAUUAAAAAGGAAAAUAUUUGACAUCAUAAUAUAAAUUUUGGAAGUGCAGAAAAAAAAAUGGAGAUACAAUAAGAAAACCGCAGAAAAGUCAUGUGAGAUGUGAAAAGAGCUUUAUAUGCUAAUCAAAAUUGAAAAACAUAACAUCAACGAAACCUACUAUCUAAAAGAAUGUAACACGUGCCUCACAUGAUGAUAAUUUCGCUGACUUGUCGCAAAAAAGAUGAUUCCGGCCAAAUUAUAUCACUACAUAAAAAGUUUCUUUCAGACAUGGGCUGUCGUAGAAGUUUCUGAAAAAUUCUUACAACAAAUUAUUUAUAUUUAAUUUCAAUGGAGUGAAAAUCUUUCACAUGAUUAUGAAAUUUGAUUACUCCGAAAAUACAUUUAUUUUAUUUAUACAUGAUAUAGCAUGUAACUAUUUAAGUAUUAAUAGUAAUGAUCAGAAAUAUUUGACGAAUCCUGAUGAUUAUUUUUGACAGUGAAUAUAUGUAUAAUGAGCCAUAAACUUGAGUCUUUACUUACAAAACAUAGUAACUUAAUUAACAAUUACGAAGUAGGUUUUCACAACAGUUUUUUGGAACAUUCAAACCUUGUGUCACUGUCAUGAGAUGUAGGGUCUAUCAAGGAAGAAGUUUACCAGAAAGAUAGAAUAUCAAUCAGAAAUGAGUCAAAUUAUAUAAGAGAUCGACAUUAUUCUCUAUCCAAAAUCUUAAAACAAUUAAUAAGUUAACGAAUCUUUUAUCUUUAUAUAGUGUUCUACUUUCUCAUUUCUAUCUAAUAUGGAAUUUAGACUUUACACUUGUAUUCCCAACGACUUUUACACUAAAAUCUUUGAAAAAAAAAACUUUAUCAAAUUAAAAUUUGUUUAUUAAAUUGCUUGCUUCAAAUUAUUAUUUUUAAUUUUAAUUUAGGUUAAAUAAACUUUUGAUUUCUUGUGAAUGUUCUUUUAUCAAAUAUGACAUAACAAUAAUACUAUUUUGGAAUAUAACAUUUAUUGACUGUACUAUUAACAAAUAUUCAGAAUUUAUCAUUUGUUAUUUAUGUUUGGUCUAAUCGAGAUGGUGAGUUUUGAUCUUAGGACAAACAUAAUUUAGGCCUAUUCCACCUAAAAAAAACUCCCUAUUUAUUUUAUUUUGUUUGACAAAAUAGAAUAAUGGAGUAAAUGAUAAUUAUUUUUAAGUCUAUAAAUAUACCUCUAGACUUAUAAAAUAAAUAUACAUUAAAUGUUUAUAACUUAAUUCUCUCUUCAACUUUGACAAUAAUAAUGUCAUAUAUAUUAUUUGUUGCAACUUCAUUAUAAUCAAUUUGAUUAAACAAACUGUAUUGAUUCAUGUUAGAAAAUAAAUUUAACUUAUUUUAUUUAUAUAUAUAUUUUUCAUAAAGUUGUUAAAGUUUGUGUUCCAAGUAAAGUAACUUGUGGAAAUUUGUUUGGGUAGCUAAAUAUUAGCCUCAAUCAUACCUUAAAUGCAUGCCUUGCCUAGCAUGUGGCCUUAACUUAUGGCAAGUGGUCCGAAAUAAAUAGAAAAUAAUAUUGUAAAAAUAUGUCGUGUUCUCAUGGCACUAUGAAUUAUUGGUUAGACAAAGACUAAAAAUAAACAUGAAGAAAAGAAGAAUAUUUUUUUACAUAUCUAAAUUUUUUACGUUUAUUUGAUACUAUCUUAUUUUGUUUUUAUUUUGUUUUUAAAAUACAAAAAUUUAUAUUUUUUAUAACUAUUUUAACGUUAUACUACAUAUAAAAUGGAUGUCAAAAUGUGUCGAAUGAUAUUUGAAAAAGCACAGAAAGAUAACAAAUUUCCAUUCCAAAGAUUUAAGAAAUUUUUUUUUUGUACCCAUGUAGUAACGAUUACUCCUACACUUAUUAAAGUUAAAUUUGCAAGUUUUCCUUGUAAGAUCUUUAGCUUAAUGAUCAUAAAAAUGGAAAGUUUUAUCAUGUGAAAUUUCUGCCUAAGUUUGUCAUUUUUUUUGUAUUUAAAAGCCGAAAGAUAAUCAUAAAUACUAACCACAGCAAUAAGAACAAGAACCUCGUCUAAUGAUGGGUCCACUAGUUUUACUUUGUCAAUCUUGCUUAACAUAUGUCAUAAUUUAAACGGAAAUGACCAGUGCUUUGAGUUGCUUUUCCUUAUAUAGGUUUGUUGAUGCACUUUGUUCCAAUCCAAAACUUCUUUUGGUAAGGGUGUCAGUUCCAGAUAUUGAUCAGUAUCUGUACCUCAACUAUUUGGUGAGUUGUUCCAAUGAGUAAGGAAUCUGGUCUGAACAAAGAAAGCACAUCAAUGAAUGACACCAUGGUGGAAGAGGUUGAAGAAAGAGAUCCAGAAAGUAAUCCACUGAAUGAGCCUCUGCUCAAGAGGAACAGGACAUUGUCUUCCAAUCCACUUGCUCUUGUUGGAGCAAAAGUUUCCUACAUAGAAAGCUUGGACUAUGAGUAAGAAACCAGAACAAGACACCAUCAUGCUCAAUUUUCAUGUGUAAAUGUCACUUUGUGUCUUCCCACAAGAAAGUUUACUCAUUUUGAAGAGGCUCCCUCUGUGCAGGAUCAAUGAGAAUGAUCUGUUCAAACAAGAUUGGAGGAGCAGAUCAAGAACUCAAGUCUUGCAGUACAUAUUCUGGAAAUGGGCUCUUGCAUUCCUUGUUGGACUUCUCACUGGUGUCAUAGCCACUUUGAUCAAUCUUGCUAUAGAGAACAUUGCAGGGUACAAGCUUCUUGCUGUUGUCAAAUUUAUUCAAAAGGAAAGGUAAGAUCAAUCUGCCCCACCUUAUAUUCUGUCUGGUAAUCCCAGAAAUUCUUUCCUUUUCUGUGAGGGAAAAAAGUUUGCAAGAAAUCCAGCUUCAGGUUUUAUAGUUUCAAUCCAAACAAAUAUAACAGGAAAGAUAAACCUUAGAUGAUGUUCUUCAAGUGUUGAUAAAAUUGUUCUUUUACCCUGAAGCCUAUUUUGAUCAUUUUCUUAACAAAGGUUUGCAUCAAGGAACUGUGAGUGAGAUUUUUGUUAUAUGAACUGUUUGCAAACUGUGAAUGAAUAUGAAUAUCUGAUACAUGGUGCAGGUACUUGACAGGGUUCCUAUAUUUCACUGGAGCUAAUUUCAUUUUGACAUUUGUUGCUUCUAUUCUGUGUGUGUGUUUUGCACCCACAGCUGCUGGACCUGGAAUACCAGAAAUCAAAGCUUAUCUUAAUGGGGUCGAUACUCCCAACAUGUAUGGUGCCACAACAUUGUUUGUUAAGGUAAACUUUGUUAUGUUGAAUGCUUCAUUUCCUCAACCAUUUUUCUUCUGAUUAACUCAUCACAUCAAAGAAGAAUGUCAAAAUUUAUAUACAAGGCUUCCUUGUUUUGACAGUUUUUUUUGGUGGGUUAGGAAAUAGGCUCAUCAGGGAACAAAAAUAAAAGAUAAGGCAAUGAUGAUAAAUUGUCGCUACUUGAUUUCUGUCAUCGUUAAUUUUUCAAUGAUUAGCAUUCUUUUACUGUAGUGUGAUCUCAAAAGUAGUACAAUUGUUAUAAGGGAUUAGAAAAAAGAUUAGAGUCACUUGAGAUUUUCUUUUUGGAUUGGAUAUAAUACCUCCCUUUUUUCUACAUUUGCAACAACUUUAUAGGGAUACUCUUGAUGUAAUAUUUUUCAACCAAUCAAGGAGGUCUGUGUAAUUUACAAGAAGUUAAAACAAGCAAGGAAUUGUCUAUAGGUCCCAAAAUGAGGAGUAUCUAAUGAAAUCUGAAAAACAAAGAGAUGAGUACAAUUUAAUUUUUUCCUUGAUGGCACCACUGAAUCCUUGAAUUGUUUCUUAUAAUAGCAUAGCAUUAUGGAUUUCAAACAUUAGCACUUGGAAUUGUCUGAGAUGAAUGGCAGAGUAAUAAUAAUGUUGGGUGAAUAAUAUAGUAGUGUCUUUACAAUAUAUGACAAAUCCAGUUAGUAUGUCUCAUCCGACAAAAAAAUGUAUCAUUAUUGAUAGAAGAACAUGACACCAUAUGAUCUCAAUUGCACAGAUAUAAUGCAGAGUUGCAUAUAGUCUAGAACUUUUGACAUAAAAACUAUCAUUACAAAACCAAUACACUGAGAAAGUGUAACCAAUAUAUUUGCUGGUGUAGAUAAUUGGAAGCAUUGGAGCUGUAUCUGCAGGCCUAGAUUUAGGAAAAGAAGGGCCCUUGGUACACAUUGGUAGCUGCAUUGCUUCAUUACUCGGUCAGGGUGGCCCUGACAAUUACAGGAUCAAGUGGCGGUGGUUGAGGUAUUUCAACAAUGAUCGUGACCGUAGGGAUCUCAUCACCUGUGGUGCUUCUUCAGGGGUCUGUGCAGCUUUCAGAGCACCGGUGGGUGGUGUUCUCUUUGCUCUUGAGGAGGUGGCAACAUGGUGGAGAAGUGCUCUCCUCUGGAGAACCUUUUUCAGCACAGCUGUUGUUGUGGUUGUGCUUAGGGCCACCAUUGAACUUUGCCACAAAGGAAAAUGUGGCCUUUUCGGUGAAGGGGGGCUCAUCAUGUUUGAUGUGAGUGAUGUCACUGUGAAUUACAAUGUCAUCGAUGUCAUCCCUGUUGUUAUCAUUGGAGUCCUUGGUGGGGUAUUGGGAAGCCUUUACAACUACCUUCUGCAUAAAGUCCUCCGUCUCUACAAUCUCAUCAAUCAGUAAGCAAUUUUAUCUAUAAUCUCAAUCUGUCAUCUUGUUUCUGUCAAAUAGUACACUAUAUAAUCCAAAACAAUCUAAAUUAGCAGUAAAUAAAAUUAACAAUGCUGUAACUGAGCAGUAGUUUGAUGGUUUGAGUUAUAGGGGAGAUUAGUCUCCUUAUAAAUCUUGAGUUCAUGGCUUGUUAGUUAGAUAAAGUGUAAAGAAAACUUAGAACGUUAAGUAAUCUACCAUUUAUAUAUUGAUGAGAAAAGCUAACAGCACAAUAUUUGACAAUAUUUUUAGCAGUGGUUAAAUUUGAUUGAAAAUCAGAAAAUCAUGAAUGAACUUCUGUUUAUGAUAUCCAAGAAAGUUUAAUCAGUAAUAGAUAUCAUGUUUAAGGAAAAGUUUGGAAUGUGAUAUUAGCAUCUCAUAAUUCAUUAGUCUGAAUUGAAAGCACCUCCAUUAUAACAAAAACAAAGAGUUGUAAAUUGAUCAGGCUUAGAUCAAAAGGAAUAAAGAAAAGGCAAACUGAUCAAGGCAUGUCUUUGUUUACUGCAAAUUUGAAUUGGUUUAAAGAUGAAAUUUCCAACUAGCAGAAUCCAAAUUUGCUAUUUCAGUCUGUAUGACUGUUAAGUAGUAGUGAGUCAACUACUUUUGAUUUUUGCAGGAAAGGAAAAAUGUACAAGCUCCUUCUCAGUCUUUCAGUUGCACUCUUCACAUCAAUAUGCCAAUAUUGUCUCCCAUUCUUAGCAAAAUGCACCCCUUGUGAUCCUUCCCUUUCAGAAAUGUGUCCUACAAACGGACGUUCUGGAAACUUCAAACAAUUCAACUGCCCAAAUGGCCACUACAAUGAUCUUGCAACUCUGCUUCUGACCACCAAUGAUGAUGCUGUUAGAAACAUAUUCUCAACCAACACUCCUUUUGAGUACCAACCUUUCUCCAUCCUAAUUUUCUUUGGACUCUAUUGCAUACUAGGACUAAUCACCUUUGGGAUUGCUGUGCCAUCAGGGCUCUUCCUACCAAUCAUUCUCAUGGGUUCAGGUUAUGGCAGACUUCUUGGAAUCCUCAUGAGACCUCAUACAAACAUUGAUCAAGGGCUGUUUGCAGUCCUUGGUGCAGCCUCACUUAUGGCUGGAUCCAUGAGAAUGACUGUGUCCCUUUGUGUGAUCUUCCUUGAACUAACCAACAACCUUCUCCUACUACCAAUAACCAUGAUUGUUCUCCUCAUAGCUAAAACUGUUGGAGACAGCUUCAACCCAAGCAUCUAUGAGAUCAUCCUGCACUUGAAAGGCCUCCCUUUCAUGGAUGCAAACCCUGAGCCAUGGAUGAGAAACCUCACGGUGGGGGAACUUGUUGAUGUGAAGCCAGCAGUGAUGAGCUUCAGAGGAGUAGAAAAGGUAGCCAAUAUAGUCGAUGCCUUGAGAAACACCACACAUAAUGGUUUUCCUGUCAUGGACUGUGGAGUGGUGCCAGCAACAGGAGUGGCAAGUGAGGCUACAGAACUUCAUGGAAUCAUUCUAAGAGCACACCUUAUUCAGGUGCUCAAGAAGAAGUGGUUCUUGAAGGAGAAAAGGAGAACUGAGGAAUGGGAAGUGAGAGAGAAAUUUACAUGGGUAGAGCUGGCUGAGAGAGAAGGAAACAUUGAAGAUGUGGCUGUGACUAAAGAAGAAAUGGAGAUGUUUGUUGAUCUACACCCUCUCACCAACACAACUCCCUUCACAGUGCUAGAGAGCAUGUCAGUAGCAAAAGCUAUGGUUCUCUUCAGACAAGUAGGACUUCGUCAUAUGCUCGUUGUGCCAAAGUAUCAAGCAUCUGGGGUGAGUUUAUUAAGCACAACAUUACUUCCAUUCUAGCAUUAAAUUUGAUUUUGUCCUUCACUUUGAAAGCAUUUCAAGAUGAAAUAUGACAAUGUUCAUCAAAACAAAUCCUCUUUUUGUCUCUGAAAUGAAAUUGUGUUAAACUUGUUCCUUGUCUUUCACAAAAGAUUAUACUUCCUUUUACAUAGAAUAAAACGUUUAUAACCUUAAAUUUGUUGUCCUCAUAGGUGUCUCCUGUGAUUGGGAUCUUGACGAGGCAGGAUCUUCUGGCACACAACAUUCUGACAGUGUUUCCUCAAUUGUCAAAACCAAAGAGGAAGUGAAGCUUUUGUUGUCAAAUAUGAAUGAAUGGACAAGCAGCUUUAUUGGGACAUUCUUUCUAUUCAACAUGAAGCUUUUCCUCAGUUUUGCAUUAUUUGGGUCAUGCAUGGAGAAGAAGAUUCAACAUUGAUGUAAAACAUAUUCAAUUUUUCCUAUUUUUUUCCUCACAGGUUUUUAUCUGCUAAUGAGAUCAUAUCAUCUUCCCUUGUUAAAUAACGUUAAUGAUAAUAUCAAUGGUAAUUUUUCUCUUUCCGCUUCAGAAACAGGUACUAAGAUUUUCCUUUUUUUUCUAUUUUUCUUUAACUCUUUGUUAUAAUUAACUUUUUUUUUCCUCUUCUUUAUUUUUUCCCUCUUGAGAUUUAGAAAUAUAUAUAUAAUUAAAAAGUGUUAAGAAAAUUAUUUAAAUGUUGGGAUGAGAUAAUAUCAUUUUAUGUUGUUUUAUGUGUACCAUAGGUUUUAUUUGUAAAGAUAAUACCAUUUUUUUCCUUUUUAAGUUUUUUUUUUCUAUUUUAUAGCUUUAUUAUAUAAAUAAUUUUAUUUUGGAAAAAUAUAUUUAUCUUUCAUAGUACUUUUAUUUUUUUUAACUAUUAUUGUAUCUUUUAUACUAUGAGUUAGGCAAGAGUCUACAAAUCUAACAUUUUCAAUAAGUACUUUUUAGUAUUCACUACUAUUGCAUUUAAUUUCUAUAUAUGAAUCAUUAUUUCCUAUAUUUAAUUUAAAGAUAGCAAUUACAAAGAAAAUUCAAGAGAUCAUGAAGAUUAUAUCAUUCACUCAUUUUCAAGUACAUUUGUCUUCGAAUAUCAUUAAUACACUUCUUCCUGGAUAAACAUAAUACCAAGAUAAAAAAAAAUCAUUUUUUUAUUAGUUUUCCAAUUUAGGACUAUAAUUUGUGUACGCACUUUUAAUUGGUUGAGACCAAAUAAUAAGUUGUUGUAACUUCUCACUAAAAGAUCUUCCUAAAAUUGUUGAAUACAAUAAUAUAUGCAUAAAAAAAAUAUAAUCUUUUAUCAUUAUAUUUGAAAUUACAAGAAAACAUUAGGGGAUAUUGAUUUUGAAAUUGUUUUUCAAAGCAGCGUGUAAUGAAUUUGCAAAAGAUAUAUAAUUUAGAUGAAAUGUUUAGAUGUUGGUUUUUAUAAGUAGUGUAUAUGGAAAAUGUCUCAAAGAGAAAGAUAGUAAAACACAAAUUUUAUACUGAUUCACUCAACCUGAACUACAUUCAAUUAUCUCUUAAGAAUUCUUAAGGGAUUCCAUUAAUCUUUAUGAAGAUUACACAAGUUUUAUCUCUCCAGGUUUACACUGAAUAUUAACACCACUCCUAUUUCACCUAAUCAACAUGACUAGUUCGAGUUUAACCACUCUAGUAUCCAAGUAUUCUAACCACUCUUGAUAUAACCUUAAACAACUAUCUAGACUAUUUAACUUAAUUGAGUUCAACACUAAGUGUUUUAAUUCCCUUCAUAAUGUACAGUGUGAUCAAUGUUAAGAUCAAUUACAGAUUGAUAACUCUUAGUGAGAGGAUAAUUUUUCAAUACAAAAAAAAAAAAUCUAAGAAUCUUGCAAAUAUGUCUUUUCAAGCUUAAGCUUUAGACGAUAUAUGAGCAGAGCAAUAAAAGGCUUGUUUUAGCAUUCAAAUGAUCUAUAUUCUAUCCUUCUUUUCUUCUCUUCAAGCUUUUGUCUAUUUAUAGUUUUUCUGAAAAAUUGUCUAUUAGAAAUAGAGUGUUGACUUCUUAUAGGGUUGAUAGUCUUUUUAGGUGAGAAGUCAGACUCAGGACUACUUUGUAAAGGUACAAUGUUUUAUCAUAGCUUUUUUCAAUAGAGGGCUUGUACGGUGUGUCAGAGCAGAAAUCUUCAAGGAAAACACUCUGAGAAUGUUCUUCAUAUCUCUCAAUGUCUUUAUCUUGUGUGCAGUUGAUUUUGGUCAAGUCUUGUACUUUUUGUGACAUGCAUAUAUAUCAAGAACAAAGUAUAGAAUUUUCGAAGGACUUUAUCAUACUUGCAUUAAAAGUCAUUUAAUAUUUUGAAUGUUGAUAAACAUUAAGUUAUAUUGGAUGUUUAAAACAUUUUAUCAUUUGUCAUCUCACUAAUAAAUGUAUCACCGCAAUUUGGUUAAAGCAUUCAACCAAUGUGAUGUGUAAAACAUUAAAUGUUUUAUAUUGAAAGCUUGUCUAUAGUUUUCAUUAAAGGAUACAUUUCAUAAUAUGCUUGCUUGAAAUAACACUAUUUUAUUAAGACAUACUUUAAGCUUUAGCAUUAACAAGAGAUAGACGUUUUUGUUUAUAAAGCACUUGCUUGUAAGACUCUAUUUGUAACACAUAUGAUCUCUUAGAUGAUUCUUUGAUAAAAACACUUUUUAUAAGACUUUGUUUGUUGAAAAAAUAUAAGCUUGAAAGCAUUGUUUUAUAAUUCAUCAUAUGAUUUCAAAUUGUGGGCAUUUCCUUUCUUUAUAUUUCUAAAACAUUGUUCAUCUGGUAAUAUGGUCUAGAAAAUGUUAUCAUAAGUUUAUUUUUGUCUAUUAAGGAUGUUCCAAAAAUCUUUUCUCCUUAGAUGUUUUUCUUUCAAACAAUAUUUCUUUUAAAACGAUAUUUCGUUUAAUGCUUUUUGUUAAACUUUAAAACUUAGUUGCAAGACGAUCUAGUUUCUAGAUGAUCUUGUCUUAACAAUAUUCCUUCUUGUUUAUUGUUUAUUUAUCUCCUUUUCUUUUCUUUUUAUAUUUUUUCUUGAAUUUCUUUUUCUCUCAACUCUUUUUCCUUAAGUUAUUUUUCUCUCAACUCUUUAUCUUCAUUUUUCUAUCUUUCUCAACUUCUUUUCUUUAAUUUCUUUCUAUGUCAACAUUUUUUUCUUUAAUUUCUUUCCUUUUCUUUUUCUCCACCUCUCUAUUUCAUCAUAAUUUCACCAUACCUUUCCUAAUAUUCAUCAAAUGUUUUUUUCUUUAUCUUUAUUUGUUUACUCUCUCUUUUCCUUUCCUUUUAUUCUCCUCAAAAUGCUCUUUCAAUUUUCUCUCCAUCUCUAAAACAAACUCAUUAACUAACAAUUUGUGAUAAACGGGGCACUUUUAGCACUAGUAGUUGCCACUUUUCUGAAAAUACAUGCAUACAUAAUCAUAUACAUACAUAGAUAGACACAGACACACCUAUACACACACAGACACACACACAAACACACACACACACACACAUACACACAAACAGACAUAGACACACACACAAACAUAAACACAUACAGACACAAAAACAAGCACACACACACACAGAUACUCACGAACACACAUAGACAAAACAUACACACACAAACACACACAUAUAGACACACACACAAACGUGUGUGUCUAUAUAUAUAUAUAUAUAUAUAUAUAUAUAUAUAUAUAUAUAUAUAUAUAUAUAUAUAUAUAAACACUCAUUGAAUAUGAAGGGCCGAAGCUCUAAUACCAAUUGAUGAGAAAUCACGGAGGAUCAUUUUGAUAUUCAGUUUGGGAAAGAAAUUGGUGUCACACUUAAGAAAGAUGAGAAGUUGAGCGAUAAGUCAUGAGGUUAAUUACCAUAAGUUAUCUUUAUACGAUCAAAAUUGGGGUUCUUAUAACGUAGAACUCCAUAAAACUCUCACAAAGAGAAUAAUUAAUUACCAAACAUAUUUACUGGAAAACAUGCUAUAUUUACUAAUCCUCGCAUCCCAAGUUACUUUCACUUUCAAAAGCAACUCUGACGACGUUUUCUUUCUUCUUUAGGUUAAGUUUUCUUCUUAUGUGAACAACAUUGCAUUUUCUCCUUAUUUUUUCUCAUCUUCGUUUGAUACAGAGAGGUACACAUUGAUUUUAUUCUUUUUAACUUAUAAUUUUUUUAUGAAUAUAAAUUUGGUAUUUAUUUUUAUUAUAUAUUGCAUUUACCAAAUUUUAAAAUCUGGUUUAUAAAAGUAUUCACUGGAUUUUGGAAGCCAUAGGGUGAAUAAUAUUAGUAAAAGUUGAAUUUUGAAAUCUUUGGGGAAGCAACUAAUUUCAAAAUUCAGGUUUAGGAAGUAACCAAAUUUCAAAAUCCAGUUAAAAAACUCACUAGAUUUUGAAAUCCGAUUAAGAUUAUUUUAGGAUACCAUCGAAUACUGAAGUUUGAAAUUUGGUUAAGGAUACCAUCGAAUUUUGAAAUCCAGUUAAGCAUUCUCUUAGAUUUUGAAAUUCGAUGCUAUUUUUUUUAAUUUUCUUUAAAUUCAUUUAGCUUCUUUUGUUUAAUAUUUAUUUUUUAAAAUUUAUUGUACUUAUUUUGUUUUAUGAAUUUGUUGAUAUCCACUUGUUAUUAUUGAACAAGUGAGAUAUUCUAUGUUGAUGACAUGUUGUAAGUGGUUAUAAUAUUCGUAUCUAAGAUGAAAGAUUGUCCUUUAAGUUAUAUAGAAUCACAAGUACAUUCCAUUUUUCUGUCAGAUUUCUCUUCUUUAUAAAGGAAAUGUGCGAAGAAGAUUACACAAAUAACUUUACAAUUGAUCAUAUUUUUCCCACAUGUAAUGAGUUACUUCAGUGGGUUUGAGGGAUUGAUUUUAAUCUUGUUUUUGUUGUUAUCAUUAUAAUAUCUAAUAAAGUGAACCGAAAUUCGAAAUCUAGUAGACUACUUAACUGAAUUUUGAAAUAUGGUAGAAUACUUAACUAGAUUUUGAAAUCUAGUAGAUUACUUAAUUGAAUUUUGAAAUCCAAUCCACUACUUAAUUGGAUUUCAAAAUUUGGUAGACUAUUUAACCAGAUUUUAAAAUUUGGUUAAGUAGUCUAUAGAGUUUCAAAAUUUGAUACCUUUUCCAAAUCCACACAUUCCGUACAUUGGUUAAAAUUUGGUUAACAUUCCCUACAUUGUUUUUCAAAAUACACACAUUCCUUAAUCAAAUUUGGAAAUCCAAUAUGUGUCUAAAUCAUAUUUCAAAAUUUUAGUAUUGACCUAAACCGGAUUUUGAAAUUCGCUACUAUUUUAAAUCAGAUUUCGAAAUCUGGUAAUCAUCUAAAUGAAUUUCAUGACAAAACAAAUUUCUAUCGCAAAAAUCUCCAAAUAAGUUAUUAAAAAAAUGGAAACUUACUUACUUGACGAGGAAUGUGUAAGCGGAAAAGAUGAAGAACACUAUGAUGCAGAAACGAAAGGGAAUGAGUUUGUGGGGUGGAGAGUGGAGAAAAAAAGAACACAGAUUUUGGGGUGAAUGAUUGAUGUGUGGGAAGUGAGUGAAUGAAAGAAGUGACUGCAAUGUUAGGGUGAAAGUGUGAGAGGUGAUUGCUUAAGGGUAAACAUAAGGAGAGGGAAAAAUUAGGAAUUUACCCAAUCAAAGUCAAGGGGAAUUCAAGAUAUUUAGAAAAUUUUGGAAGUGUAAGAAGAAAAACGUGGGUCGGAAGAAAGCCCUGUUGUUGGGGAAAGAGUAACAAAGAAAGAGAUUGGGGUCUCACCAAUUGCUUGUGCAAUCAGAUCUAGAUUAGAAAAUCCUUGAACGUUCGAGAGAAAGAAAAAUGAGGCACCAACAACAUCGUUGACGCCAUACUAGCACAACAACAACAUCGACAAGGAAUGAAUGAGAAGGGACCUAGAGGUGCGUAGUACCUUUUAGGCAAUGCUCAAUUGAAUGGAUAAAGGAUGGGAAAGAAGCCCUCACGUUUAGGGAUGACAAAACAAUUCAGGCCCGUGGAUAUCCGUGGAUAAAAUCCGCGACGAAUAGUUGGUACCCGUGGAUAUUUACUAUCCUUGGGUUGCGGGUAGCCUGUAUUUUAAUACCUGUUUAUAAACGAGUUGUGUGCGAGUAUUAUACUAUCCGUUCAUAUGGAUAUCCGCUACCUGCAAAAAAUAAAAAUAAAAAUCUAAUUUAUAUUUUCUUAAGUUAAAUUUAAUUAAAAUUAAAAUUAAUUUAUAUUUUAUAAGAUUAAAUUUAAUUAACUUUAAAUUUAAAUUUAUUUUUAAUUUAAUUUAUAUUAUAUUUUAUAUAUUUUUUCUAAUUUUGUUUUAAUAGUUUAUAAAAAUAUAUUUUUUUAAAUAUUUACAUAUAUCUGCAUAUAUGAAUUUUAAAAUACAUGUAUCUGUAUAAGUAACGAGGAGAUAAUAGAUAUAUUUUCUUUUUUGGAUCAGGUUGCACGUAUGUACUGUAUGUACUAUUCGUGCAGAAUCAAACUUGUUGUCAUCCCUGUUCAUCUUUGAGAAAGAAUAAGACGAUGAAGUAGAUUGAUUACAUUUACUUUAUGCACCCUAAUGUGUACCAACUUCAUGCCCUGUUUUAUUUUAUCUUUUAGCUUUUAUCUUACUUGCACCCCUACAUUCACUAUACACACCUCACAUUAUUUGCUGGUUAAACCACUCGUUUUCCUAUAUCGCAUCCUUGUAGGUUUUAUUUUCUGUUUGCGCUAUUUUAUUUCUUGCACCUAUAUACAUACAUAUUGCACCCUAUUGGUGUUGCAUUUUUCCCUUGUUUCUAAUUACACCUCUAUUUUUAAUAUUUUCUACAUUUGUUUUACGUUUUGGGCCUUUCUUUCAUUUUCUGAAACACCUUUUUAAGCUUUUCAUAAUUCCACCUCACUUACUUUUUAUACUUUUCUUUUUCACAUACAACAUUUUUAUUACAAAUAAUCAAAAUAUAAAAAUAAACAAUAGUUUCUUUGUUAGUGUGUUAACACCUUUUAAAAUAAUUUAAAAAUAUAAAAAAAUCAAAAUUAAAAACAAUCAAACCACAUUUAAAUAAUUUUUUAAGAUUUAGGUUAUUUUUUAUUUUUUUUACUGUGAAUGAAAAUAUGUAAGAGAAAAGUCAACUCAUGUCAUGUUGAGUUUAAAAAAAAUAAAAAAAAAUACAAAAUCAGUUUAAAUAGUUUUCUAGAAUUUGGUAAGCUCUAAUUUUCAUUGAAUAAUAAUACCUAAAAGAAAAUUCAAUCCUUUUUAAGUCCAGAAUAUUUAAAAAGAUAUUUUUGUUUAUUUUGUCGAGUCUUAUAUUCUUACUUUUGGCAAAAUAUAUAUUUAGAAUAAACUAUAAUGUUAUAGAAUGUUAAUACAUUUUUUACACGUAAUUAAUUUCAAGAUUCAAAAUUUGAUUUCGUAAACCACGCUUUAUUUAUACGAUUUUAUUAUAGUUUUUGCAGACCAAACCCUCUUUUACAAAAAUCCUAAAAUUUACAAAGAAAUAUUCACACCUAUUAAACUUUUACAAGAUUAAAAAAAAAAGAAAUCCCUAAUAUUCUAUAAAGUAAUAGAAUCUCGUUUUUUAAACCUUCCUUCAUUUUCUUGUAACUCCUUAAACAUAAACAUAGACCUUGUGGAUAGUAGCAUUCUCCCUUAUGAAAAGAAAUCAUAAUUUACAUUAUACAAAAUUAAGAAAAGUGAUUAUAAGAGAAAAGGAAAAAUCUUAUUUAUAUAUAUAGUGUACUUUUAAUACUACAUAUAAGGCAUGUCCAUUCAUGUUGGACUAAUUUUGAUUCAAAUUAGGUGAAUACAAGGAGGUGAUCAUUAAAAUUUCCAUGACAUCAUAUCCACAAGUUUCAUACUUAUUUAAUCAAUUAAAACAAGGAAACCAUUACUGUGAGAGAUAAUGCAAUAAUGAACAUAAAAGAGGUGAAGCAUUGUGAGGCUGAAGACGCAUCAGUAGUAACAGCAGGAGAAAAAGAUGAUGAUGAGGAGGAAGAUGAUGAUGAUGGUGAUGAUGCUGGAGAAGGAGCAUUAGCAUUCCCUUUAAGUAUGGUAAUUUUGAGCUUCAUCCCUUGACUACAGUGGCCUAAGGUACCACAAGUGAAGUACCUCGUACCUGGUUUCUCCAAUUUCACAACAUCAUUCCCAGUACUUAAUGAUUGGAUUGGAUUGCUGAUAUCACAACUCUUGUAGGCACUCUCAUUACCUAGUUCAAUCACACUAUGCAAAGAACUAUACUUGAAAACAGCACAACAAAUUAAAUAAUAAGACCUCAGUAACGAUACUGUGUCACACUUUUAUAUUCAUAACGAUAUUGUAACACACUUUUACAUUCAUAUGACACAUAAUAUAAGAGUAAAAUGGUGAUAAAAGUAUAAAUAUUUGUAGUUUUUUAAGAAAGAAAAAAAUAAAAAAAUAAAAAUAGUAUCAAAUGAAUAAAAAAUUUAGAUGUGUGUUAAAGAAUAACUUUUCAAUUAUAACUUUUAAACUAGGUUUUAAAAAUAAGGUUUAAUUGCUUCUUUUGUCCCCCAGUUUAGUUGAAGUGUGUCAAAUGUCCCCCUUUUAGAAAAAUAUCAAUUUCGUCCUCAUAUAGAAAAAAUUUGUGUCAAUCAAGUCAUCUCCGUUAAAUACAAACUAAUGGUGUUAAAAACUUAAAGUGAGUUUUGAAUAAUAACCACUUCAUGGGUCCGAUCCCUGAUAUUACAGUGGAUAAAGUGAGUUUUGAAAGCAAUGAUAAUGAUUUUUAAGGGAGAUGACUUGAUUGACACAAUUUUUUUUUUCUAUAUGGGGACGAAAUUGACAUUUUUCUAAAAGGGGACAAAUUUGACACACUCCAACCAAAUUAGGAACAAAAGAAGCAAUUAAACCUAAAAAUAAAUUAUUAUUAUUAUUAUUAUUAUUAUUAUUAUUAUUAUUAUUAUUAUUAUUAUAAUUAUCUUAACCCUAGUAUAAUGCAAAAGAAACAUACCAAGUUUAUCUCCAACAUUGAAUGUUUGGCCUGAAGUCCAUGAGUUAAAGUCUGUGGAUUGAUCCCAACCUUGGCUUCCACCAACAACAUGCUGUGCUGCAAAGACCUCCUUUGCAACAACCAUGGCUGCAAGCAGUGCCAAGAAAAGUGUGUUCUUGAGCCCCAUUGUUAUAUAGCUUCUUUCUUCUUUUUCAGACUUCUCUUACUACCACUUUCUCCAGACUGAAAGGGUUUUCUUCAAACAUUGCUAUGGUUCAUUCUUAUUUAUACUCAGAUCUCAGUACCCCAAUAUGUUUUUUUUUUUUUUUUGUUAAAAUAUAGGAUUAGUUUUAGUUUUAGUUCUUAUAUUUCACAAAAUUGUAAUUUUGUUCUCUACAUUUUUUCACAAUUUCAUUCCUUUGGUUCUAACUUUUCAACCUUUUAAUCCUUGAAUUUUACACAUUUAAUUAAUCUUAGUUUUUAAUUGUCUGGAUUUAUUUUCUCAAUUCAAAAAAUAUUGUAAAUCACUAUUAAGUUAAUACUAGCUAGUGAUGUAUAUAUUAUCUCGAUAUUAUUAUUGUAAAAAUAAUAAUAAAAAAAACUAAAAAGGGUAGAAAAAAGCAACUUAAAUUAUAAAUGUUAUAAGACUUUUAACCAUUAAAUAUAGAAAAGAAACUUAAAUUAGGAAUUCAUAAGAUUGAUGACAUGUUUCCGUUUUCAUACGACUUAACUAGUUUUUUUAAACAAUUAAGGGACAUGGUUUUUAGAAUUUUAUUUUAAAGGUGGUUAAUUGUAUGAAAACUUUAAGAAUAAGAAUAAUUAUAUGAAGUUGGUAUUUUAUAGUUGGUAAAAAUAAAAAAUAUUUUUCAAUCUAAUGGGUGGGUGAAGAUAGCUUUGUCAUAUCUUUGAUUAAAGGGUAAAACAAAGGUGCAUUGUUUGUGAAGUAUAAUCUUCUGUUUCAGCCAUUGGAUUAACCACCAAGCAUUCUAGGGUUGGUAAAAGAUGAUAAAACUUGACUUUUAAACUAAGUUGCCAUGUUACAUAUUUAAAAUGACCAAAAAUAAUAAUAGAUUAAAUAAAAAAAAUAGAUACAUUAUUUUUAGAAUGUGAAUCUUCUUCCCAAAAUUCAGUUUAAAAGUUUAGGAACUGAUAGGUCUAAACAUUAAAUAUGUUUUAUCUUUAUUUUAAUUAUAAAAAUAUUUCCAGAUUUUAAAGUUUUGUCUUGAGCAAGAAACAUUGAAAUAUAAAACAAUUAUCUUCACUGUCUGCUACACGAAUAAUUGAAAAUAAUGAAAAACUAAAUUAAUUGUAUACAAAACAAUGUUUUUUUUUUUUUUUAACAAUUAAAGGUAAACAUUAAAACCAAAUGAGAACCUGUUUUAUAGUAAAGGGGUUAAUAUGAAAAUACGAGAAUAUUAUUAUUUUUUACUUAUCAAUUUUUCUAAUAAGUCAGGGAUUUAUAGGAAUGAAAGACCCACUGACCAAUAUUGUUUUUACAUUGAUAAAAUAAAAUAUAAAAAAUGUUAGACUCUCAAGAUAUUUUACAAUAUUAGUUGUCUUUCCUCUCAAAAUUGAAUAAUUAAUGUUACUUUUUAACAAAAAUAUAUGUUGAGUUCCUUACAAUUAGUAGAGACUAAACUACGUUCCUUUAAUAAAAGUAGAAACUAAACCAAUAAAACUUGCAUAUAAACAAAAAUUAACCCAACAAAAUUUUUAAGAAAUAAAAAACACUUUUACCUAAAAAAUUGUUAAUUUGUACCAAUAAUAUAGUCAAAUAAUUAUAUCUUUACUGUAAAAGAAUAAUUUCCGUCAUAAUUAUAUCUUGAUUUUGAUUGGUAAAUAACUUAAAAGAAUUGUCUGGAGAUAUAUAGUUGUAAAUUUUACAGACUUAUUUACGUCAAAUAAAUAAUAAAUAAUAAUUAUUAUAAAUGGAACCUUUUAUAUUGAUUGUAGACGAACCAUUUAAUAAAUAAGUAUUUUCUUUUAAAAAAAACUCACAAAAGUUAUAAGAUUAUAAAAUUAAAAACUAUAAAAUUAUAACAUGAUAAAAUUAUAAAAUAUAAGAAUUAUAAAUCAUGAAACUAUAAAAAUAAAAUUAUAAUAUAAAUUUAUAAAAUUGUAAAGUUAGAUGAUUAUAAAAUCAUAAAAUUAGAAAAACUUAAAAAGUUAUAAACUUACAAGAUUAUAAAAUAAUAUAAUUGUAAAAUUAUUAAAUUAUAAAGUUAUAAGAUUAAAAAAUUAUAACGUUAUAAAAUUAUACAAUUAUAUGUAAUAAAAACUAAAUAAAAUAAUAAAACAAAAUGAAAAUCUUAAUUAAAAAUGGCAGUUAACAGAAAAAUUAAAUCACAAAUACUCAAUUAAAAAAUAUAAAAUUUUUAAGUAUUUAAUAGAUAAUAAAAAUUUAAUAUAAAUUUAAUUAAAAAUUUCUAAAUACAUCAUAAUUUAAAACUUAAUUAAAUCUAUUAAUAAAGUAAGAUUCAUUCAACACAAUGUAUAAAACUAGAAAUACAAUCAUCUAACAAGUUAUAAAUACAAGUUGUUUGAGGUUGGACACCACAUACUAAUAUCAACAGAUAUUAUAAGUUUUGUUUACUUGGUCAAUCUCUACUCUUAACAUCUUAUCUCUUUCAAGAAAGUUGUCUUAGUCUGGCUCAUCACAUUUAAUAGAAAUAAUCAGAUACCAAAAUAAAAUUAAAUACAGAGAACUUACUUAGACAAGGAGAGACAACAAUAGGAAAAAAUGAAUGACGACAGUUAUAUCAACAACAAAAGAAAGAAAAAGACACAUAGAUAUAGUAAAAAAUAGAUUUUUAAGUCUAAAUAUUUAAGUCGGUAAAUAAAAAAAAGACUUAGAAAAUAUGUCGUGAUAAUUUUGUAAAUAAAAAACAUUUGUUUAAAUCUAUUAAUAUUAUAAAAUACUUAAAUAAUCACUUUUUAAAUUAGUGUUGAGUAACAGAUUUAAAUAGUUAAAUUUGAAAUCUGUUUAAAGACUACUGAUAGACUUAAAUAAUUAUAUUUUAACCACAUUCACUUAAUCAAUCAAACCAUAGACUGAGCCAAGACACGGUGAGGGUUGAAGCUGUCUCAUUUGAACCAGUAAAGUUAAUUUUAAUCUCGAAGCCUCAAAUGCAAACUGAGCCUGGGUGAGUUAGAGUUCCUAUGGACUUUAUAAAGCUUUGCAUAAUUAAGAUCUAAUUUGGAUUGCAAGGAUUCUAAAAUUAACUUUAUAAUAAGAUGUCUUCUUCAGAAAAGCUAAAGUUAGAUUUAUCAAUUGAACUAAGAUCAUCAAUCUGAAUUUCUUUUUUAGUUGAUACUUUUCUCCAUUUACAUUGUGUUUCGGGUGUAAGCUCAAACAACUUCUACAAACGCACCUUUACACUCUCACUCUUGAACUGCUUAGGUGAUUAUAUUCGUCUUCUGUCCAACUUCUUCUUUGUCCUUGCUCUAAACCGAUAAGAGGUAUUUAUCAAAAGUAUUCCGCGUAAGAAGGUUAGAGUAAAAUCUUAAGUUCACAAUAAAUGUGAUCACCUAUCUCUUACCUUUGAUAUUUAUUUAUAACUUUUGAGAUGAGCCUAAGAUUAAUGAAAUCUUAAUCACGGUUCAAUCUCAGCCCAUUACACUAAUUGGUACUUACCAUUAAUCUUGAUUCUUGAUAUCUCUUAAGAAGUGUUUGCUUUUGAGAUCGCUCGUCCGACUCCACUCAUGCAUGGACGGAUGGCCUUCGUAUUUAUUUUGUUUGGAAUUGGGUAUUUAUCGCACUAGGUUAACCGCUCUUCUAUGUGAGGACCGUCGGGCCAUACGAUAAACAUCAAUUACUUUACUUUAGGUUUGCUAUGUUUUUUAUUGGUGAUUUCAACAAUUCACUUCAUGUCAUAAUUCUUUCUCUGUUUAGUUAGUUCUUUAAUUGAAGUUUUAAAUAGUAAUUUAAUUAUGCAUAUAGAAUUAAUUUGGACUCUUGGAUUCUUGCAUUCAUAUUACUUUCACAUACAUCAUUUAGACUUGAUAGCUCUGCAUUCAUUCCAUAUUGCAUAUUGCAGUCCUUACAUAAUCAACAUUAUAGUUAGAUAAUGUCAGUGCGUAAAAUUCUACAUUCACAAUCCAUACCAUAACUGUUGUCACACUUAUAUCCUUUAAGCUUGGUUUCAAAAUGUAAAUUUAGAUUCUACAUUUGAAUUACUUAGUUACAUUGCAUCUUUCAUUUCCAAACGUUAUUUUAAGCUUGUUCCAAUUUCUACAUGUACAUUUUCCACACUAGCAUUAUAAAAAGAUAAAACUUGACUUAAACUUAUUUUCAUACGCUCUCAAAACGGUCAACUUAGAUAAUAGACAGUUUAGUUUAUAGGAAUGUGGAUUAUUAUUGGCCAUUUCUUUUAUGGAAAAAUCUAUGGACUUUAAGUAUAUUGUUAUAUAGUUUAACAACAUACUUUAAUUUUAAAUCUGUUAGAUAACAACAUAUCUAUAAUUUAAUUAAGCCUACUAAAUCUAAGUCUAUAAUUUAAGUAUGUUGUUGAUUAACCUACUUAAAUUUUAAGUGUUAAAAAACUUGUUUUGUACUAAGAAUAGCAUCAUAAUCAUCAUUAAUAUAUAUAUAUAUAUAUAUAUAUAUNNNNNNNNNNNNNNNNNNNNNNNNNNNNNNNNNNNNNNNNNNNNNNNNNNNNNNNNNNNNNNNNNNNNNNNNNNNNNNNNNNNNNNNNNNNNNNNNNNNNNNNNNNNNNNNNNNNNNNNNNNNNNNNNNNNNNNNNNNNNNNNNNNNNNNNNNNNNNNNNNNNNNNNNNNNNNNNNNNNNNNNNNNNNNNNNNNNNNNNNNNNNNNNNNNNNNNNNNNNNNNNNNNNNNNNNNNNNNNNNNNNNNNNNNNNNNNNNNNNNNNNNNNNNNNNNNNNNNNNNNNNNNNNNNNNNNNNNNNNNNNNNNNNNNNNNNNNNNNNNNNNNNNNNNNNNNNNNNNNNNNNNNNNNNNNNNNNNNNNNNNNNNNNNNNNNNNNNNNNNNNNNNNNNNNNNNNNNNNNNNNNNNNNNNNNNNNNNNNNNNNNNNNNNNNNNNNNNNNNNNNNNNNNNNNNNNNNNNNNNNNNNNNNNNNNNNNNNNNNNNNNNNNNNNNNNNNNNNNNNNNNNNNNNNNNNNNNNNNNNNNNNNNNNNNNNNNNNNNNNNNNNNNNNNNNNNNNNNNNNNNNNNNNNNNNNNNNNNNNNNNNNNNNNNNNNNNNNNNNNNNNNNNNNNNNNNNNNNNNNNNNNNNNNNNNNNNNNNNNNNNNNNNNNNNNNNNNNNNNNNNNNNNNNNNNNNNNNNNNNNNNNNNNNNNNNNNNNNNNNNNNNNNNNNNNNNNNNNNNNNNNNNNNNNNNNNNNNNNNNNNNNNNNNNNNNNNNNNNNNNNNNNNNNNNNNNNNNNNNNNNNNNNNNNNNNNNNNNNNNNNNNNNNNNNNNNNNNNNNNNNNNNNNNNNNNNNNNNNNNNNNNNNNNNNNNNNNNNNNNNNNNNNNNNNNNNNNNNNNNNNNNNNNNNNNNNNNNNNNNNNNNNNNNNNNNNNNNNNNNNNNNNNNNNNNNNNNNNNNNNNNNNNNNNNNNNNNNNNNNNNNNNNNNNNNNNNNNNNNNNNNNNNNNNNNNNNNNNNNNNNNNNNNNNNNNNNNNNNNNNNNNNNNNNNNNNNNNNNNNNNNNNNNNNNNNNNNNNNNNNNNNNNNNNNNNNNNNNNNNNNNNNNNNNNNNNNNNNNNNNNNNNNNNNNNNNNNNNNNNNNNNNNNNNNNNNNNNNNNAUAUAUAUAUAUAUAUAUAUAUAUAUAUAUAUAUAUAUAUAUAUAUAUAUAUAUAUAUAUAUAAUAACUUUGCUGAGUGUAAAUCAAUCUAAGUUGUUUCAAUCAUGAAAAUACGUACAUUAAUAUUCAUUAGAUGAUUUGUGAAGAAUCCUCAAACAACGUGAGAAUAUACAACUUACAAAAGAAAAACAUGUGUUCUUAAAUUUGACUCACUUUACAAUUAAUAUAUUUAAUUUUUAUUAUCUACACAUUUACCGUCAGCCUCACCCAUUCUAUGUUUUACUUUUAAUUAAUUUAGUGUCAUUUUAGAGUUGGUUUCACUCACUCUAAUAGAGUCUGUUUUUAGGCCUUUUCUAUUUUUAUACAACUAAAAUCCACAGUGUAUUUGUUAUUAUAGGAUCCUACUAUCAUCUUGGUAUAUGAUUUGAUGAUUUUGCAUGUAUCAUAGUUAAAAGGAAGCCUACAAUUCUCCCUAAAAUUCAUAUAUUUACGUUCUUUUGUUUUAAUUGAAAAUUGACACUUUAUAUAACAUCCAUUUGUUUCAAUUAUAAUUGUUUAAAUUAUAUAAAAAUAACAUAGUUUUUAUGUUUUAACAUGCUUAUAACUUCAAAUUUUGGAGUGUUAGAUUUUAUGAAUGAUUAUUAUUAAUUUCAUAUAGUUUUUACUCUUCCAGUGUUUCCCUAUUCUAGUACUCUUUUUAUUACAUACUUUACUCUUAUAUAUUUAUACAAGGUUUAAUAACAUUAUCCCUAUAUGAAUAUUAAUGAUCCAAUAUUUUGUUUUUGUUUAUUUUUUAUUUAAGAUACUCCCUAUAGUUUAAAAGAAAACUCUUAUGCCAGAUUAGGGUUGACAUACGUGAUUUAAAAGAUAAUGAGUUUACAUCUAAUACAGUCACCCAUUUACACGUUUUCUAUCCAAUUUCAGGAGCAAAAUUAGAGGAAUAAUAUUAACAUUGAUAGAAAGGAAAAGACCACAUUGAUUUUAUUUUAUUUUAAAUAUAAAUCACAUUUAGUCAAAUAUAAACAUUAAUAAAAGUUAAAUACAAAUAAAUGAACAAAAAAUACUAUUAAACCCUUAUACAACAUCCUAUACAUAUCAUAACAUUUUUGGUGCUUUCUUUUUAUAGUUUACCGUAUGGUCCGGACGAUCGUAUGUAAUAUUCCAUAUCAAAUAAGCCAGACAGCCAUAGAGGGCAAAAAACGACUAAGUAGCGGAUGAAUGUGACUGAAUCAAUAGGCAAGGCCGAACGGUUAGGAAUAGAGACAUUCGGCUUUAGUCGAUAAAUAGGUUAAGGUAAAUGGUAAUUAGAGGUACUGGUUUGAGAUUGAAUCUAGAUUAAAGUUUCACUAAUCUCAAACCUAUGUCAAAAACUAUAAAUAUAGGUUAAAGGUAAAAGAUAGAUGGUCAUAUUUAAUGUACAUUUAUUACCAUUACACUGAACUCCUAUAUGGACAAUUUACUAACUUUAGUAUUGGAGAACCUUUGACAUGUACUUUCUAAAUGGUGGAGUAACGGUGGAGUAAAGACGAAGACUUGACUUGGUUACCAACAACAUUUCAAAAAAAUUGGAGAAGUGUUGGAAGUGGCAAAAUAAUCAUUGUUAAAUAUACACUUUGCACCAGUUUAAAUACAAAUACAAAAUUAAUGACGUGUUAAAAACAGAGAAUACAACAUAGGAUUGAUAAAUUCUUAUAUAAACUUUUUGGAAUACAGUAAUGAGAAACAGAACUUCAAUGUGAAUGAGCCUCUUAGAAAGUGAAACUCUUAAUUGUGAAAGAAAUUGAAAAGUAAGAAAGAAAUUUCAACAAACAGGGUGAAUGGCAAACCAAGCUUGGAUGAAAGUGAGAACUAGAGCAAGAAGUGCAGCAAAGAAAGCAAUGAUUGACCAAGGGUUGCUGAAAUAUGUAUGAUAACCAAGAGCAAGCCAUGCCCUGUAUCUCUUCCUGUAAUGCUUUUCAAUUUUCCGUCUAACACCUAAAUAGCUCUCACUGUUAGGCACCAAGUCAGCGCUUAUGGUGUUGAAGAGCUUCGCCACUUCCUCAUCACUCCCAAGUUCAUUGCGCAGAACCUUCGCUGAUCUCAGCUCCUUCACAUCCUCAGGGUGGUCGAUCAGCGAGUCCAUGAAAGCCACAAAGGAACUAAUCUCGAAGUUGUUCUGAAAAUCUGGACACAUCUCAUACGCUAUCAGGUUGUGAAAAGUAGGAGCUGUUGUGUCAUCAACUGUGAUCUCUGGCAGUGUCAGUUCAGCACGCAACCACAUCCAGCGAUAANAGAAGGAGAUGUCACUCAGCUUCCGUGACUUUUUCACCUUCAGUUUAAUCCCUGCAGCUCUCAGCUCCUCUAUGUUCCUGUAUGUCAUCAUGUCCAAAUCAUCAUCUUUUUUCUUGUCCCUUUCCCCGUUUUCUGCGUCACCUUUCUUAUGUUGGGCUUCCUUUUUAGCGUCACCGACGAUGUACCUGCGAAGCUGAUCGAGAAGAUGAAAAGGUGACUCCUUUCUUAUGUCUAUUCUGUGUUCUUGACAAAGGGAGUCUUCAUUCCUAACAUAAACACUUGGGUCCCCAUCUUCAUCCGAUACUCUGAAAAAAAAAGAUACAGUAUUUGAAAUACAAACUACGAGGGACUUGAGACUGAAAGUUAGUAUUUAUACCUGUCUUCGUUUUUCUUAAACUUGGUCGUGCCAUGAAUUUUUUCUCUUUGCUUUGGUGACAAAUGAUGGCACUUAAGAAACUUGUUCAUGCUGUUUAUCAGUGUGUCAUCAUUCUGGUGGCCUGACAAGAGUUUAAGCACUUCAUAGGGAAGCUGAUUCUCUAGCAAAAGCACAUCCUGCCACACAAGAACCAGUUGGUCAACCUUAACAUUCAAGUCUUCGGGACGACUGAGGUUUCCCUUGUCCAGGAUUUGAAGCAGAGAACAUCCGUCCACAAAUAGCAUCCGCGAGAGCUUUUCAUCAUCACCACCGAAGUCUCUGAUAACAUCCUCAGCAUACCGUUCUUUCAAUUGGUUGACGUGUAUUGCAAACUUUUCAUACAGAGUUUCAGCAUCUUGCUGGGUGCUUUCAAGGUACUUUGCUGCCCACAUAAGCUUGUAUUUUUCCCCCAGUUUCAGAUUCGGUUCUCCAUGAUGGAUUGGACCAAUAGAAAUCAACCUGGGGGAGUAAUGCUUCUUCGAAUGCUUUCGAUCUCGGAGAUAAUGUGCUACCUUUUGUAUCUUUGGAACUGUAUUUUGUGGUGUCUCCUUUGCCUUUUUUAGUUCAUGAAAGUUCUGGUUGAGGUAUGGUGUCUCACUCAUGUUAACUGUGCAAUAAUGCUAUAUUUUCAAGGAUUGGUUUGGUGGGUAUAUUUGUGAGUGUUCUAGACAAGUGAAGUUGUUCAUGUUAUUGCAGUUUAAAUUGUAAAAAAUUUACGAGUAAACGAAUCAUAUGAUACACGGAGACCAUUCAUGUAUUAAAUAAGUUACUUAUUUUAAUAUGCUGAUAAAUUUAUUUUAAAAAUAAUAAGAUAUUAUUAUACAUUAUACAUAUACAUGUUGAAAAGUUUGUAAAAAUUCUAAAUAAUAUGAUAAAUAUUGAAUUGUUGUUGUGUGAAUCUAAAUUAAAAUCAUAUAUACAUAAAGAUAGUACUUGAUGCUUUUGUGGAUAUGAUUCUUGGGGUGAAGAAGGAGACAUAGUACUUUAUGCUUUUAGCUUUGUGAAUGUUUGAAGUUUGGAAUGGAUAGUGAGAAAUAGCGUUGAAAAGGGCAUGUAGAAGUGGAUUCAUUGUGCUUUGCUAGUAUUUCAAGUAUGAAUAGAUUCCUGCUGAUAAUUGUUGGUAGGUAAGUAGAAUCACGUUUUUCAUUCAU
rnacentral:lncRNA from 1 species